UGGUGCUGGCACAGGUGCCGGUGGUGGUGUUGCUGGUGCGGGUGCAGGUACUUCCUUAGCUGGAGCUGGUGCUGGUGGUGGUGUUGCUGGAGCUGGUGCUGGAGACACUUGUGGUGGCGGUGUAGCUGGUGGUGGUAUUGGAGUGGCAGCUGGAGAACUUUGUGGUGGUUGUGGUGGUGGAACUACUGGGGUGGUAGCUGGUGCGACUUUAGGAGAUGGUGAUGAUAUAGGAGUGGUUGCAGUUGGGGGUGUCACUGCACUUGCUGGUGAUUGUGUUGGAGUGGUUGGUGUGGUUGUGGGUGGAGGUGUGGUGGUUGUAGGUGUUGAUGGCGAAACAGCUGGUGUUUGGGCAUCAGUAAUAGCUAGUGGGAAACUCAGACAUGCCAAGAUGAGAGCCCAAAGCACCGAAGCCAUUUAGUUGUGAUGAGAAUCAACAGGAAGACGUAACAUUGUUAUAUAGAGUUAUGGAAAGGCUUUUAAAUUUAGUAAAUGUUUGGUGGAAUGUUAAGAGGGAGAGAUGUUGUCUUCAUUUGAAUGCGACAUCCCUUCUAAUGAUCUGGAGUGAUGUCGUAUUCGGACAGCUCUGCAAUUGGCUGGUCCUAUCAACCAAGAUUUGGGGCCUAAAAUUGAGAAAUCUUGCUGAAGAAAAAAGAUGUACUGCUUUAAGUUUUAGCUAUAUGGAUGCAGUUAUUUGUGUUGAUAGGAUUGUCAAUGGUUGUGCUGUGUUUGAUUUUUUGCUGUGCAUUUUCAACUCAUUUAGAACCGAGCACGAAGAGUGAAGGCUCUGGAGUUUCUUUUUCUUCAAGGUGGAAUGUCGUAAUUAGGCAAUAUGUGUUUGCUUUUUACUAGAAUCUUGAAACUAACAAAAACUUGAAUCACGAGUUUAUAUUUUAUGAUCAUAAUUUCCGCAAUCAUCGAUAUGUUGUGGUAAAUAUGGCAAAAUGGCUGGACAAGUGAUGGAGUGAAAUGAGAGGGAGGCAAUGCAGCCGGCAAUCCGGGCUAACCUUUCACCUACUCAGCAGAGACCACGAUGUCGAUCCUAACACAACCUAAACAUUGGUAAGCAGUCCCUGUCCGAUUUAAGGAAAGAAAGGUCAGGUUCCCUUUUCUUCCUUUCUUUUUUUGUUGGUGUUUAAUAUUAUAGUGCAUGGUAUUUUAAAAAAAAUAUUUUUAACUUGAAAAUAUACUAAAAUUAUUUUUUUCCAGAUUUUUAUUUUUAAUAUCAUCAAAACCAUUGGAAAAUACAAAAAAUAUCAAUUUAAUAUUUUUUAAAAUUAAGUACAUCCAAAUACAAUUUCAAAUACGGAAACAAAUUGUGCCUACUCAGUUAAGGACUUUUGUUAGUUCACGGAGCACUCUCCGAUCGAGUUUGGAAAGUCGUAAUCAAAUGCAUAAUGCCCAACGCAGGAGCUGAUAAUUGUCAUACCCACAAGUUCAGGCUUGAGACCAUCUGUUGCCAGAUUCUAACCACCCACAAUUGGGAAAGCAAAUUGUAUCAAAUUAUCAACUUUCAUAACUUGGGGCUGUUCUGCCAACCUGACGAUAUCCACCAGUCUCUGCCAACGAAACCCCCCCCCCCCUUUUUUUUUUUUUUUCCACAACGGACAUACAAAAUUUCUGCAGUUACAAUUACAGAUUAUAACUCAAAAGGGUUUACACUUUACAGUGGUUUGCCACAGCUGAUCUAUGACAAUUGCUACCGCAGGCCCACAUGGAAUCAAGAUAUCUGGGCCCUGAGGACUGAUAUCUGUGACUAUUUUCAAUGAUAUGAUUAUCUCUCAAUGUUAAUAAAAGGUUUUAUUCCCAAGUCAUUUUUCACCUUUAGACGUGGCGAUUUGAAGUUUGUUGGAUUUCAUAUUCUCAUAAAGACACCGAAUAUAUAUUCAAUUGGAUUGAAAGAUAAUACAGUUUCCAGAACGUUUUUUAUUAACUUACUUGAUGGUGUUCUACCAUCUCUUACAAACAGAACAUGGCAUGGAAGAUAUCUUGCAUCUUACCGAGGAUUUUAGAUUGUGGGUUUGUUAUGGGAAGACAUGAAGGUUGAGGAGGGGAAUCUUCUUUCUUCUCCUUUUUCCUUCUCCUAAGCUGGAAAAAUUGCUGCAUUACAUCUGCACACUCCAAUUCCAAUAUUCCUCGCCGGAUUGCCAUCUUUGGAUGGAAAGGAUGGACUGGAGCGGCUGGCUUAUCUGCCAGUUCUGAGCCAUUUCCAUCUCGUCCAUCAGGAAAAAGCCUGCAAGGAUUGUCACACAGGAAACUUUUGGGAAUCAUAAGCCUCGGAAAUUUCUGUUAUGAGUCGGCUGAAUGCCUGAUCAACUUGAAUCUAACUAGCGUGUGAAUGGUGGUUUGUUCUAUCCUCUAUACCACCAACCACCCCCCCCCCCCCAAUUCUAGCAGGGAUUUACUUUGUGGUGACUGGAACAAGCAGAGAUUCAUGUAAUACCAGCAGCCAUUUCAGAUAAUGGCUAUGGAAACCAAUUUAUCAUUUUCUUCCCAAUAAAAAAAAUAUAAUAAGAAAUAAAUGACUGAUUUAAUAAAUGUGCUCUAUUAAUUAUGUUUUGAUCCACGGAUGCAUUGGGAGCACUAUGAACAUUGAUGACAGAAACAGGAUAGGGGAACAAUUCAAAAGGAAGAAAAUGUGCCAAGUGUAUCUAAGUCUAAUUAUAUUGUAAUGGCAAGGCAAUGUUAACCCUUUCCCAUUGGGACAUAAUGUAUGGUCAGAUCACUUUAAUAACCAUUAACCAGUCUCAGCAUGGACGGACCAAAUAAGGCAUUUCUGUUUUGAAACGAAUUUGGCACUCAUAAUUUUUAUCAAGUAAAACACUUUAAGAACAAGGCUUUGAUUCUUCAUAAAUAAUAGUCAGAUGUACAAAAGACCAGUCUCCCAUUUCAAUGAGAUUUCAAGGAAGAUGAGCUUACCUAAUCCAGCUUCCAUCAGCUCCAAGAAGCUUAUUGGGAGCUCCCCAUACAAGAGUAUUUAUUCUUGCUUGAAGUAUUGCUCCAGCACACAUAGGACAUGGUUCAAGUGUUACAUAAAGAGUAGUCUCCUGCAAAUCAAAUCAUUAAGCCCUCGCUGUGAAUAUCAGCAGAGUUAGAACAGUUCCUUGAAAAGUGAUUUCCACUUUGAAAGUCAGCUUUCAUUUGAUAAGAUAUAAUUUUCUUAGUAUCUUUUCCUUUCGUAUGUAAAACUUAGUCAUUGAAGAGGUUAAAACAGUUUGAUAAUGACUAAACUAGUUAAGAGUGAAUGCAUUAAUUAAUAAUUAUAGUUUCUUUAUGACAUUGAUUAUUUCAAAAGAAUCGAGGGAGUAAAUAAAAGCUUUCAAAACAAAGAGAAAGUACCGAAAGCCUCCAUGACCGGAGUUGAUUUGAUGCCUCCCUAAUGCAAAUCAUUUCUGCAUGGGCGGUGGAGUCUCGUAACUCCUCCACUCUGAAAUAUAAAUCUCCACAUAAAACCCCAAAAUAAAGAAGCACAAUAUAAGGUUUUAAUCACAAGUGCAUACAACUUACAGGUUGUAGCCACGAGCAAUAAUCUUCCCAUGAUGCACCAUCACGGCCCCAACAGGCACCUCCCAAGAAUCGGCAGCCUUCUUGGCGUCUAGCAGGGCUUCCCUCAUAAACAUUUCAUCAAUUUUCCGCUGCUCACUUUCACAUAAAUAAGCCUCUUCCCAUUCAUUGAAUCUGUCUCUCCCAACUUGCUCAUUUCGUUGAAGCUUCCUUUGUUUCAACUCCACACCCUUCCCCUCAGAGCCUGCUACUUCAAUUAACUUUUCACUAUCAGGUCGCUCCAUAAGCUCCAUUGAGCCACUAACAGAAAUAUUAUUUUUAGCAGCACCAAAACUUUCUUCCACAAUGGGACCACUUGUGCUAGAAGGCGGCGAUAAAACUAGUGAUGAUUCCCCUACUUCCAUGCUAGAUGUAGCAACUUGAGAAUUGUUCCUAUCUUGACUACAACCAAGGUUUUCCUCUUCAGAAGGUGAGGAAAUACCUUUUGACGUGAACCCAAUUUUUAAUGUAAUUGAAGGAGAUGAAGUGUCUCCUUCAAGCGGUCUUAUUACGUUCUUUGAUCCAAAUGUGUCAGAUGCUUUUACCUCAUCUGGACUAGAAGUCUGUGUUAGUUGCAGCUGGUGAGAAGAGGCAGCUUCCUUAGGCAUACUUUUUCUUUCCCUUUUCAGAUUCUUAUCACUGAUUUCAUCAGGUUCAUGGCCAGAAAACCAUGCUUCACUAGUAACAGAAUCAUUUGACAAACUCUUUCCACCUGAUCUUCGAGUUGAUUUAGGGGUUUCAGCAUGUGAACCCCAGCGCAGUCGUACUAUAUUUGAGAUGAUAUUCCACAUGGACCUUCCAGUUCUCCUAACAACAAUACUCUUGAUUGCUGUGCUACCUGCUGGUGCUUCUGUCUCUGGAGGUUCCUGAACAGACGGGUUUGUUACAUUCCACAUUUCAUCUGAAGGACCCUUCUCUCCAGAGUCCCCAGAUGAUUGCAUUGAGUCCUGCCUCUUCAACUGUAAGUCUUUAGUAUCAUAUUGACUUGAACUCUUUCGCCUCUGCUUCUCAACUUCAUAUGCCAACUUUGUAUCAGAAACUGUCUUCUCCUUUUGGAUUUCAGAAGUUGACACUUCAUGCCUAGCUUUCUCAACAAACUCUCCAACAAACUGCAUUGAUGACGCCUCUAAACGAUGAGCUGAACCAAGAGCAUCUUCAGUCAAGGUAAGAUUUGAAGCCUCCCCAUAUAUCUCAUCUUUCUUAUUUCCACCAUAUUUUUCCUGCUGGAAAACUGCAGUUCUCCUUCCAGAAUUUCUAUACAGAGUACUAGAGCCACAUUCCAAAGAUUCUCUGGAAUCCUCUUGAUUUGCGAUCCCACCAGAUGAAUUAAUAUGAAAUGAACCUCGAUCUAACAAUUGAGGUGAGGGAAGCAUCGUUAUUGUCUGUGAUGUUCUUUCAUUCCCCUCCCCCACAUCAACCUGUUGAAUUCCAACUUUGGAAACCAUAUUUGCAGAUGCUUGAGAAUCAAAGGCCUCCUGUGAAGUUGUUUCAUGAAGCCUUAAUUUGUUAGUAGCCCUACAAACCUCACUUGAAGAUUUGGACUGAGUGAGAUUUUGCUCAAUUUUAUCGUCUCUCUCCCUUGUCUCGCAAAUGGCUUUCACAGCUGAUGUCAAUUCAUUUUCUUGAUCAAAAACUCUCUUUCCAGAAGUUCUGCCAAAAUUGGUGACCAUUGUCAUAUCGCUUGCAUGGACCAGUGACACAUUGGUGAAAUCCAGAGAUAUAUUGGUGGCAUCUCCAGAUACCUUGCUGGAUUCAGUUCCCUGAAGAGCUUUUUGAUCUGUGUGCGACUGGUGCUCUUUUGCUUCGGUACCUGAUCUAGAAACAACACUUUUACUUACCUCCUGCUGCUUCAUUCUAGUUUCUGAUAGUAGAAUCGAAGUCUUUUUGUUACUACUGUCAUGAACUUCUGAUAUUUUAGAUAACUGUUGUGAACUUCUUCUUGACUGAACCUGUCCACUUGUCUGCCCACCCAUUUGGAAUUUUUGCUCAUUUGUCUCAUAAAAUGAUCCUAGAGCUCUAUCUUCUACCAGAAUCUUCAUUCUAGACUCAGAUUGCCUCUGCAAAUUUGAAACUCUUUCAGUACUGGCAUUCUCAGUUGUUGAUGUGUCAAUGAGUUGGUGAGUGGCUCUUCUUAUAUUGUUUUUUGCAGCAGUUUCACCAACUCUUUUAUAACGUUCAUCCCUUCCUUCCCAAACCAAAUUUGCAUCCACUAGAUUUUCUUCUCUACCACUGAACCGCUUCUGGGAUUGGGAAGCUUUUUCAACAUUUAUUCCACUCCUCUCCUGUUUAUUGGUAAUUUCCUGGUAACUUCUUCUGAAUUCAGAUUGCUCUUUGACUUGAUCCCCCAUCUGACAAUAUCGCUUUCUUGUUUCUUUCUCCAAAUUAACCGCCAAACUUUUCUCAUCCUCAUUGCCAAUCUGGUUAUGAGAACUUGAUACCUUCCUGUAAUCACUUUCAUGGUUUCUCGCCAUUCUUGAUUGCAUUUGUGAGGAUUCUCUUUCUGAUUGUGUUUCUUCAAUCUCAGUAAGUUUCUUCUCAGAUUUCUUCCUCGGAUCCCACUCAACACCAGUCCUUCUUGCACUAGUUCUCGCUUCCAGAACCUCCCCCUUCCACUCUGUGCCAUCUCUAUGCCUCCUAAACUCUUCCACAACUUGCCCCUCUGAUCUACCCUCUCCACUUCUUAAUUCCUUCCUGUAUCCACUUGAUGAUUCUUUGGGACAAUCAACAUAUUCAUCCAGAGAUUCCGUGUCACUCUCAAUAUCUCCUGCAGAAGAAAGUGAAUAAAAUGACGAAAAACUAGAGCUCACUCUCCUUCCCCUGUGAUUCUCCCCUUUUGAAACCGCUUUCUUUUCUUCCUUUUCUUUCUGGUCUUCCAUCUCUUCCUUCCUCAACUCAACUUUAGCUGACUCAAAUUCACAUUUUGCAUCACCCUCCAAUGAACUGAGCCCAACAUUCUUCUUCCUCCUCCUCCCCUUGCGAGUUCCGCCACUGUGAUUCCCCCUCUUCACCAUUUCCACUCUCUUCGACAAACCCCAAUAUCUCUCCCCGUCACCUAAACACUGUCCACUCACUUCCUCGCUCAACAAACUAAUCACAGUCUCUGCAUCAUUAACCCCACUAAAACAUCGCCUUCCGCGCAAUCUUACCCCCCCAAUCCCUCCCUUCCUUCUCCUAAGAAUUUUCUCACUCCCAUUAUUCUCCUUAAAACAACAACCAUGAUCAACACCAUAAUCCGGGACGCGGUAAUAAUCCCUACCCAUCCCACCCAAGAUCAACCUUCUAGAAGCUGAACAUUGAAUAAGACUAGCUUGCCUCAACCCAAAAAAAAAACCUGGGUUUAUUGGCACUCUAUGUAAAGUAGCAGUAGUAGUGAAUGAUGACGAUGCACAACAAGAACAAGAAAAGCAACAACAAGAACCACAUGAUGAAGAACAAGAUUGUAAUAAAAAUGGGUUUCCUUCAUUUAAUGAGUUAGAGUAUUCAUUGAAAGAAAAUGAAAGUGGCCCUUUCGUUCCAAGAGACAAAGAAGCUAAGCUAAUGUAAGUGUUGGGCAUCUUUUCUUUUCCAAUGUUAUAGAGAGAGGCUUACCUUAAUGGAUUUUGUGGAGUUUUUUAAGCUGAAACUGGGAGUGAAACCAUGUGAGGUGUUCUGUUUUGGAACUGGUUUCAUGAUUUCUACUUUCGGUUGAGAGAGAGCUAGUGAUUUUGAAUCCGAUGAGUUGACUCUCUCUGGGUUGGCUUAACUCGGUCGCCUAUACAGAGUGAAACAAACUGGGCUGCUGGCUUUUCAUGUGGUUGCACUUAACCAAACACUACUGGGCCUUCAAUGUAAUACUAAUUGGGCUCUGAUCUAAAAUUGUCUUCUUAAGAAGUCCAAUCCAUCCAGCCCACUAUAAAGACUGAGUUUUUGUGCUUUUACUUGCCGAAUUAAAGUCUCUUUUAUUAACUAGUAAUCAUUAUUGAUCGGCGCUAUUCCGGGUCAAUUUAAAAUUUUAUUAAUAUAUAAAAAAAAUAUUUAUUGUUAAUAUUUUUCUAGUAUAAAAAAAUUAACUGUGUGGAGGUUAAUUUGAUAUAUCCUGAUCACCUUGAUGGAUCUAAAAACAAUCGAAACAACGUAAAAAUAUAGUUUGAUUCAUAAAAAAUCAAGAAAAUAUUUUUAAAAAAAUAAUAUUGAAAUAAAAAUAUAUUGGAUCAAUCCGGGUCAACCCGAGUUAACCCCAUAUAAAGCAAAUCAAAAUAAAUUAUGAAAUUUAAUUCUCAAUCAACCCAAUGUUGAAGAAUGAAAUUGAAAAAAACUAAUAAAAAAAUAAUUGAAUUAACCUAUCAAACUCGUGACCCGGAUUAUGAGAUUAUGAUAACCUUAUAAAAAGUAAACAAAAAAAUGAUAUAGGUCAAUUUAGAUUAAUUUUUCAAACUCGCAACUAAAGUCAUGAGACUCGAAUAACUCCAUAAAAAGUAAAUCAAAAUAAAUUAUGAAUCUCGGUUUUUAAUAAAUCUAAUAUCAAAGGUUAAAAAUGAAAAAAAAACAAUUUAAAAACAUAACACGAUAAAACAACGUGAGUUGCAUGGGAUAACCCGCAAAACAUAUUACCUGAAUCAUAAGAUCAAGAUAACCUUAUAGAAAGCAAACUAAAAUAAAACAUAAAGUCUAAUUCAUAAUCAACCUAAUAUUAAAAGAUGAAAUAGAAAAAAAAUAUCAAUUAAAAAAUAUAAAAAAAAUACUCGAGUCAACUAGAUUAACUCGUCAAACUCAUGACUUAAGUCAUGAGACCGAUAUAACCUUGUAGAAAAUAAACCAAGAUAAAUCAUGAAGCCUAACAUCCAAUCAACUCAAUGAUAAAUGAUUAAAUUGAAGAAAAAUAUCAAUUAAAAAACAAAACUCGAGUCAACCCGUCAAACUCGUGACACGGGUUAUGAAACCAAGCUAACAACGUAUAAAGCAAACCAAAAUAAAUUGUGAAGCAUAAUCUUUAAUAAACUAAAUAUUAAAGUAUGGAAUUAGAAAGAAAAAUAGAUUUAGAAAGAAAAAAAAACUAUUAAAAUGAAUAGUAUUUUAUAAUACAGUGUAUAAUAAAUACACAAUCUCUCUUAAUUUAUACUAUAUUAAUUUUAUAUAAGUUAGAAAAAGUUUAUAAUACUCCAGGAUUAACUAACGAUGGCUACACUAUCAAUCCUCCUUAAAGAUACAGACAAGUAAAUAAACAAAAGAGAUAUGUUUAUUAAAAAAUUAUUUAUUAAAAUAUUUAUUUAGAGUUUAAUUGGAGAUGAUAAUGUAAAAAGAAACUCACUUAUGAAAUGAAUCAACAUCCAAUUAUGAAAAGUUAUGCUGCUUGCAAAAUAAAUUACAAGAUUGUGUACGUACUCUUGUUAUUUUAAUUAUACAUGGGAUUUAGAUAAUAAUAUCAUUUAGAGGAUAAAAAUAAUGAUUUUGAUGAUUUAUCGUAGUAGUAGAUUAAUACUAUACAUGUGUUACGAGAAUAUACUCGAUGAUGUUUUCUUAAGAUAAAAACAUAAAAUCUCAAUGGCUUUUAAUUUUUUUUAUUUUAAAUUAAUAUGUUUUUAAAUUAUUUAAUAUACUCGAUGAUGUUUUCUUAAGAUAAAAACAUAAAAUCUCAAUGGCUUUUAAUUUUUUUUAUUUUAAAUUUAAUGUUUUUAAAUUAUUUUGAUAUAUUGAUAUAAAAAAUAACUUUUUAAAAGUAAAAAAUAUUAUUUUAAUAUGUAUUUUAAUAUAUUUUAAAAUAAAAAAUACUUUAAAAAACAACUACAAUCAUAUUUCUAAAUUUUAACAACGGAACUGUUUUUUUAAAAAAUAUAGUCCUGUACAGUACUGGCAAUCUAGAUAUAAAUUAAAUAAAUAUUUAAUCGAUUGAUUAUUCAUCACUGGAUACCUAAUUUCUCUGUGCCUAAUAAAAAGUCAGCAAUUCUGUUUGAUAACUUCAAAUCAAGCAUGGUGCCGGCCGGCCCGUGGAAAAAAUCAUGCAUGGUGGCUAUGGCUAACAAGCACCUUCAAAGUAGAUUCUCUCUUAAAUCCCAAUUCAGAGCACUCACAAUUGACAUAAUUCAUUAAUUAUUAUUCAUUUGUCCGUGGAAACGCAGUAUACGUUGCCAAAAAAGACUCAGUUUAUCAUUUUUUAAUUAAGAUGAUCAGCUAGUGGCAACCCUUUAUUCUGGUGAUUAUGUUUUGAUUUUGUAGAUUGAUUAAACUCUUGACUUGGACAAAAGUUAUGGAUAUAUUUGGUUAUAAACAAUGUUUAGCUUAUUUUAAAAAUCAUUAUAAAAUUAAAUUAAAACUCUACUUUAAUAUUAGUUCUCAAUCUUAACUUGUACUAUUUUUCUUUAGCCAAAUAGACGUUUCGAGUCAAAAAGAUUCAUCAACCAUGUUUUUAACUUGAUUAUUUAUAAGUUAUUCAUAAAAAAUAAUUAAAUAAAUAAUAUUAAUUCGCGAUUAGAAUCAUAACAAUUGAAAAAAAUACGAGACUAAAUUAAAACCUCAGUAAACCUAAAUGAUGAAAUUGCUGUUAAUGGCAGUGUACACUUGUCGGAACUUAGCUGUGUUGCGCAUAAAAUAUUAAUUUAAACAUCUCUAAAUUGAGAGCUGUUGCAGCUGUUCUUCUUUUUCCGCACGGUCCUCUUCAUUAAGGCACAUCUUAAGGUCUCAGCUAAUCUCUUAUAUUCGUCAAAAGAAGAUUAAUUAGCUCCUACAAUUAAUUAAUGAAGCCCUGGCAUAAAUAACAUGUAUUUUUCUUUUUAGUACAAAGACAUGAAUUUCACGUGGCACAAAUAGUUUUACGACACAUCAGUCAACAUGCUUUUUUUUAUUAAGAAAUCAAAAGGCAGACUCGAACCUGUAUGCAUGCAUGCAUGCAUGUAUGUAUGUAUGAGUGAGUGAGUAACAACAACAUUAUUAAUGAUAGUAUAAAUUAAGUAGAUAUACUAUUUGAAUGAUAAAAUCAAUUAAUCCAAGGAUCAGGGGGUUACAAUGGCUUGAAAUCUCAGGCGUUGACGCGUUCGUAUGAAUAAUUGAGUACAGGUCCUCAAAAUUCUUCAGUCCUCUUCGACGUCUUCAUUAUUCCUUGGCCAGCAUUACGUAUAGUAAUAAAACUCAUAAUAUACAGAACCCUCACACACACAUAAUGUAUAUAAAAUCUCCUGGGAGGGCAUGUGUAAGUCUUGGUGGCUAAACUGGCUGGAUCUUUCUGUAUUUGUUGCUUUUGAUUAAUGAAGAAUUCUAGUUUAUCUAUAAAAAAAGACUAACUGUAGAAGCUCUGGGCCUGAAAUGUUUUAAUAUACACUCCAACUUGUUGGACGAACGCGUUUCAGGAUGCCUCCCAUUCCAAUUUUGAUUCUUUUAUUUUUGUAAAAAACAAGAGGUUUUUUAUUGGGAUAAUAAUCACAGCUAUAUAUAUAUAUAUAUAUAUAUAUAUAUAUAUAUAUAUAUAUAUAUAUAUAUAUAUAUAUAUUCACACACACACGUUCUGAUGUUUUGUAUUUUGAAAUUAACCUCAAUCAUGAUCGAUGAAAGCAAGAUCAGUUUAAUUUUCCUUAGCAACUGCCGCGCGCAUCAGCUGGAAUAUUUGUGAUUGGGAUUUUAUCUCUGAUGUAUUGGAGAUUAUUAGAGAAUAAUAAAGAUUAUGUAUUUGAAUUUUAUUUAAUAAUUUAAGUAUUUAGAUUGAAUUAGUUUUUGAUAUGAUAUAAAAUUUCUAUUUAAGUUUUUAAAUUAAAUUUUACUUCAAAAGAAAAGAAAUAAAAAUGAGGAGGAGGAACUUAACUCAUCUGAACGAAGUCCCCCGCCAUGAUCAGUAGCCUUUGGCGGGUGUCAUUUGAUGUUGAAAGCGGCUUCAUUCAUGUGAAAUUCCUUUCACCAACUUUCAUGUGGUGGUAUUAAACAUUAGUAUUAUCUACGACUACUAGUAAUAGGCAACGUCGUGGAGAAAGAUUGACAAAGAAGUGAGCCCUUUUCACUGUUAAAUCAUCCAAUAUAAAGUAUUCCUUGUUGUGUUUAAGUUGAAAUUGGUGUGAUAUUGUUGGUUUUUCUUAGCUCUGUGACGCUAUGGCUUUGAUAAAUUUACCCUAAAUAUUGAUACCCCCUUCAUUGCCUUGCAGGGAUAUUAAUUAAACCAGAAAAAAAACACACCUUAUAUGCACCCACGAUCCAGUGACGAAGCUAUAAUUUUAAUAGAAGGUGACAAUAGUCGCGAAGGGAGAAAGAAUAAUCCAUCACUAUAGUUUUUUUUAAUGAUAAUAUUCCAUUAAUAUUUCCAGAGAUAUAUAGUAUUAUUUAAAAUAAAUAAGUAGCAACAAAACAACAUUGUGGUCAACAGUAUCAUUAAUAGAAAAUAUAUAUAUAUAUCAAACAUUCCCAAAACAAUUUUUAUAAAUUAUAAAAAUCAUUUUAAAGCUCCAUUACACAAUCGAUAGGUUUCUAAUUGACAAUUAGCGAUCUUUCUCAAUUGCAUAAAGUAUAAAUAUAAAAGUAAGAACGAAAUAUUCCAAAAAUCAUUGAAUACAUUAAUUUACCAGUUAUACACCAUUAAUUCUUGUUAAUUUUCAUUUGAUAACGAAAUAUAUUUAAAGAAAAUUUGGCUGAUUGAUAUUCUCAAGAUGCAUGAAACUAAGUCAUUGGUCACGAGUUCACCGAGUCAAUAUAUAAAUAAAAAUUAUUAUUAGUAUAAUUUUAAAAUUCAACUCGAGAUAAGGUUCAAAUCAUGAAUUGGAUGAAUCAUCCCAGCUGAUCCAAAUUUAAUUUUAAGAGUAAUCAAAACAAAAUUAUUUUAACUAAAAAUAAUUUUUAAAAAAAUUAAUAAUUUUUUUAUUGGUUCAAGCAUGGUCAAUCAUUUCUCUAUUUCUUCUUAAACUCUAUAUAUUAAUGGUAAAAUAUAAUUUUUUUAUAUUUUAUUUUGUUUUGUUUACAAUAUCUAAACAUGAUAUAAAAAUAAUUAUUUUAUUAUGUACAUUAUUAUCAAAUAUAUUUUUAUAUAUUUUUUUUAUCUUAUCUCUAUUGUUUUUAUAUUGUUUUCGUAUUUUAUGUCCUGUGCCAAACGCUUCCAUAAUAUACCACAUGCUUGCCAGAUAAAAAGCCCCAAGGCACCACUGCCGAACACCUGGGAUCAGGGCGGCGAUGGCUAGACUUCUUAUUUGUCUGUCAUAUAUUUCGUUGCCCCAGACUCGGAUAAUGUUAGUCCUUUUAAAAGAGCCAUAGAAAUGGGUUGUGCAUGGAUCCAUGUUAGUAGCGGUGAUUAUUUUUUGUUCGGUUUGGUUUUUAUUAAAAAAAAUAAUUAAAUCAAAACUGGUUCAAACCGACCAGUUUCGGUUCAGUUUUUUAGGACAAAAACCGGUUCAAACUGGUUUGGCUCGGUUUUUCUGAUUUGGCUCAGUUUUUCCGGUUUGGCUCAGUUCGGUUUUUUCGGUUUCGGGCUUAUAAAACCAAAACCGAACCGAUCGGCUUUUUCAAAAUUUUAAUCGGUUUUUUUUACGGUUCGGUUUUUUCAAUUAUUUUUUUUUAGUUUUCUCGAUUUAAUUGAUUUUUCAGGUUUUUUACUUAUCCCUGAAUAUUAGCACCAUAUACAUUCGAAUAAUUGAUUGAUAAAUACAUAGUCCCUUUUAAUCAUUGCAUUUUUUAUUUUCAGGCUCGUCGUUGUCUUUCUAGAUAAUUCUGUCAGGCUCCCAAAUGAGACGGUAAUCUAAUAUAUUUCCCAGAAACUGUUGUCACAGUACUCCAAUGACCAUACGAGCACAAUUUCUAUGUAGAGUUUUGUACGUCGUACAUGACAAUCUAGAAUAGUUGACUAGUCCAAGUUUGAUGACAAGUCAAGGUCCAAGGAUGAAGAUAACCUUUCUUCCAGUUAACUAUCAACACGUUCAAUAUAGACGCUUAACGACGACCAUUUCAAAAAACAUGUAUGGACUUCUUCAUGUGAACAAAAAAAUGGCAUGAUUUGGUAUCUAUUCAACAAACUAAUUAAUUCGCCCCGGAUAAUUAUAGCACAGAAAGGUUUUAGCUUGAGUGAUGUAAAUCCAAAAGGAUCGAAGGACCAAGUCAUGAAUCAGUGAUGAAUUUAGAUUUAACAACAAAAAAUCUUUAUAGAUGAUGAAAUUGGGUCUUAGUUUAUAGUAUAAUAUAUGCUAAGCUCAGUUAUGUGUUUCGUUGCCAGCCGGAUCAAAAUCCAUGUUGCUAUCGUUUCAACCUAUACUUAACCCUAACUCAAAUGUAAAAUAAUAAAUUUGUCAAAUCAUAAAAUAGCAAAAAAUCCAAGAAGUGAAAUGAAAAUAUAGCAACACAUUGAAUUGCUCCGUGUUAACUUGUGAAAUUGACAACUCAAGUAAUGAACACAAUCAUAGUGACUUAACCCGAUUAGCCAACCUUCCUCUUUUUUUUCCUACCCUAUCCUUUUCAUGGUUAGGCUUUGAUCGAAUCUCAAUUGACCUUAGGUUCGAUUAAAGAAUGAAGACAAAGUAUAAGAAAUAGAUAAAUGAUGAACUCAAAAAAUAUUAGCUUAAAAAAAGAAGGAAAAAAGCAAAAUCAAACGAAUCUCCUAAACUUUGAUUAAUCUUCUAAACUCGCAACUCAUGAAAUCUUAAGACCAAGUUCAAUAAAAAAACUCAAUUCCUAAUUAAUUUAAUGUUGGAAGAUGAAAUGGUAAAGACAAAUAAAAAAAUGUCAAGGUAAAAGAAAUUGCAAUAAAAAGAACGAGAAUAAAAUCAAUUAGAAAAAAAUUGGAGGAUGAAGUUAUUAAAAAACUUUAAUUCUAAAAUAUGUAAAAUAAAUAGCAAUAAAGGGAAUGAGUAUCAAUUUUAACAGAUAAAAAAAACAAAAAAGAAUGAAAUUGAAAAAAUAAAUAAAAAGUUGAAGGAUGAAAUUAAAAAAACACUAGCUUAAAAAGAGGGAGGGGGGAACCAAGCAAAUCAGGGCGCAUUCUCUAAACCUCGAUUAACCUUUCAAGUUUGCAACUUGUGGAAUCUUAAACCUUGGUUCCAAUCAGGAAAUUCAAUUCCUAAUCAAUUUAAUGUUGGAGAAUGAAAUUAUAAAAAAAAAAAUUGCCAAAGCAAAAGGAAUUUCAAUAAAAAGAAUAAGGAUUAAAUCAUAUAAGAAAAGUUUUUUGAAAGGGGGUGGAAUUGUAAGGAAAAGCUUUAAUUCUACAAAUUAUCUAAAACAAAACAAAUAGCAAUUAAGAAAAAGAGGACCAAAUCUGACAUAAAAAAUUAAAGAAAAAUGAAAUUUAACAGAAAAUAUAAUUAUAUAAACCAUCUAAAAAAAUAGUGAUAAAAAAACAAGGAUUAAGUCUUAAUGAAAAAUAAAUUGAAGGGUUACUUGAAAAAUCUAGAGUGACGUGUGAAAGUCGAGGUGAAAAGAAAAAAAAAAGAAAAAAAAAGUUUAUCGGUAUCAAAUUAGAGGUCAGAAUGCCACACAUUGUCGUGAGAGGAAGAGAUUGUCAAGACGAUUCCAACUACACUAAAGAAGUCCAUCAUUGAUUGUUAAACAUUAUUGCAUGUGUAAUUUGAAGGCGAUAAAGCAUUUGAUGCGUGUGCUAGCUAGCUUUCAAUUUUUAUUAUCAUUUUAUAUUUAUUAAAGGACUAAAUUGCCAUGUAAACAUAAUUAUAACAUAAAAACCAGGUUAGAAAAUGAAAUAACCCUGGAAAUCAAUUUAUUAGUUUUUGCUUUCAAAGGGUAUUUUUAUCAUGGUAUUAUGCUAACUAGAAGAAAAGAGAUGAGAAUGGCCUUUGAUGACGGUUUAUUAUUAUUUUUUGUUUUUUAAUGGUAAUUUAGAAUUGCAUUGUUAAAAAAACAAAAAAAGGAAAAAAAUCGAGUUGUUCCUAUUGAAUUUUGUAAUAACUAACUAUUAUGUCAAAAGAUCAAAUUAAAAAAAAAAUUACACAGUACAUAAUGAUGACAAAAAUGUUUUAGCCUUCCGUUUCGUUUUAGUUUUUUUUUAUUAUUAUUCCAUGAACAAUUGCAAACUAUUUCCCUCCCGGGCUUGAUAAAAUUAUGUAAAAUGACGUAGGUGUUAGCUCGGUAAUCGUCCACUUAGUUAAUUUCCAUGCCCAACAUGUUUAAUUGGAAUUAGUGAUUCGGUCACCGUCCACUUGGUUAAUUUCCAUGUCCAACACAGUGAUCAUUAGGUUCUCCGUUCCUUCAAUUCAUUGUCUGAUGUCUACUGAUUUUUUUUUAUUAUUAAUAUAAGUAUUCGGAUUAAUUUGCGUGUACUUCGAUUAAUCCCACGGAUCCUGAAAUUAACGACCAUGUAAGCUUCCAGUAGCCCUGAGAUUUAUGGGACUCGAACUAGUAUUUUUUCAGGAACAAACCUAGAACUUGAUUAGUUGAGCUACACCCCUCAGAUUAUCUACUGAAAUUUUUAAAUAAACAAGAAUACACUGUGAUUUUGCUGUGUCUUUAAUUUCAUUGAUCAUUAUCAUUAUCAUUUAUGAACGGGCCAAAUCCUUGGGAAGGGAAAACUGAUAAUAUGGUAUUGUUUGAAGAAAUAAUUUAUCUACAAAUGGGUCAAUUUUUAUUAUAAAAUACAUCCACAUAUAUAUAAUUUGAAUAAAGAGUCUUUUAUCCAACUCAAACAAAUAUUCUACCUGAUGCUGAAAUCGUUUUAAUAUUUUUAUGGAGUGAAUGAUUUAUUCCAUCUUAUAUAUGAACUUGUAGAACAAUUUAAGGGCUUUGACCGUAUAAAUACAAAUAAAAUUAAUUUUUAAAAAAAUCAAGGACCAGAAUAUAUACAAUUCUGUCAUCCACAUUGGUGGACCUAAUUAAACAAAAAUUCGUCCAACAUUUGGAAUGAAACCUUACAAGAAUAUUAUUCAAAUCCGAGGGCUGCUGCUGCUGUUCUCCCUUGUCUCUUCUAAGACCCACCGUUGUACAUAGACGAAUCAUAUGGAGUGCACAGAUUAAUUGAUUGAUUCCAGUUAUUUACCAUUAGGCAAAGCCAAGAGCUACGUGACUGCGAACAAGAUGGAGUAAUGCAGAAGAGUAAGAUUUGAGCUAUUUGGUAAUUUACGAGUGGUCAAGUCAUUUUCGUAAUCCUGGAAAAUAGAGGGUAAAUCCCACCUAUAUAUUACGAAUGGUCACAAUUAUUUUAUUUUCAUAAAUAGUAGCCUCAUUUAUUUGUUUUUUUAAUCACUAAAUCCAAUGAGAUUGAAUUCUAUGACAAGAGCAGCCUUCACCAUUCCUAAACCCCACCUCCAUCCACUGAACUUAAAACUUUCCAUUGAAAACCCUAAAUCUUAAUUACCUUCAGGGAUGUUGCUCGAGGAUCUGACAACAACCCUAGAUCACGAGCAAUCCAAAAUUACUAUCAUGAUUUUUUACCGUGUUUGAAAUUGCAGUAAUAGUUGUUUUAAAAUAAUAUUUUUAUUAUUUUUAAAAUUUAUUUUUAAUACUAGCAAAUCAAAAUAUUUAAAAAACAUUAAAAAAAUAAUUUAAAAAAAAUCAAAAUUCUAACGAACAACAUUUUAACAACAAUGCCAAACAAACUUUUCACCUCGCAAGGGAAUCGUCUUUUCGUGCGAGAGACAAUUAAAUUGGCAUGAUACGGACAUGGAAGCAUGCACAUUCCUAGUAUCAGUUAUCAGAACAUGAUCUACGAGGAUAUGCAAAUACGCUUGUAGAGUAAAUGACAAGGCAAUGUUUCUUUCUUUCAUGGACUGCCCGUCCCAAGCGCCAAUGACUUGGAGCCCCUCUCAGCUUCUCCCUCCCUCGUUCAGAUUAUGGACACCAUUGGAUUUGCUUGGUGAGGCACUAUACUUGCUCCUUCAUUUCCUCUAACUUAAAACUGGUGUCAAGACUCGACAUGUUCUUAAUUUCCCAUCGAAGAAAAAACUCUGCUGUUACAAGAAUGGUCUUCUAUCCAGACGUCCUAGCCAAGGGGACGACGUCUACCUUUCCUUGGUUGUAAACAAUACAAGAACGAUGGGUAAUUUGAAGAUCUUAGAUCAACCCUGUCAUGGGCUCCACGCCUUUCAUUUCAAGUGGCAUUCUAGAAGAUCAGAUAGAAAUUAACAUAUUUUGAAAUUAUAACACAGAGGUUGAAUUAUAGAACUUGGUAGCUUUUUAAUUUAUUUAUAAUAAUGUAAACUACAGUUCUGAUUCCGUUCAAUAUUGAUUUUUCUUUUAAACUUUGUCAUGCAUUUAUAUUGAACUUGUUUGAUUUCCCUCUUUAAACCAGAUUCAUUUUCACACUAUAUAUGCAUGCCCACGACGAGGAAUGAUAAUACACACACACACACACACACCCCUGUUGAUCUCGUUAUGACCUGUUUUCAACUAAAGAAUCUCCACUAGCAUAAUUUUUAUUUUUUACAAGUCAAAAGGAGAAAUAAAAUAUAGAUAAAAUUUAAGAGGGGUAAUUACAAAAAAAUAAAAAAUAAAAAAUACACCAAAAAGACAUCAUUGUAGGUUCUUUCAGUACCUUUCCCAAACAAAAUCAAUGAAUUUGUUACCAGAGGUAAUUCGGUUUUUUCGCUUGUGUCUAUUUUUUAUUAUUAUAUUGAUCGAGAAUAAAUUAAUAUUUUUAUAUUUUUUUAAUUAAUAAAAUAACAUAAUUACUUUUAAAACAAAAAAAAUAUUAAAUUGGCAUCCAAUAGCUUUUUUGUCUCUCAUUUUUUAAAUAGUUAAAUAACUAAAUUAUCCUUCAAAGCAAAAAUUACUAAAUUAGUGUUCAGGGUUUCUUUUUUGUAUUUUCAUCCUUUUUUUUGUUAUAAUCAAGUUGACUAAGAAACAAUUUAGUAAUUUGAUAAAUCUAAACAUUAUUUAAAAAAGUGGUUUGCGCGUGCAUUGCACGUGUCAACAUGUAAGAUGUGGCCUCGAUAUUCGGUUAGUGUGCGAGGGGGCUUUGAAGGCCAAACGGUGGUUUAUGGGGUAGCAUCCAAAAUCUAUUGGCGGCCAUUCCAUUCCUGGACGGCACGUGUGGCAAAUAGACCUUCGGUUUGGUGUCAGCGAUCUUUUUUCUUCUUUUUUCUCUUCUCUUUGAUUUCUGUGCCCGACCCUCUGAAUUUUCAAAGCAACCCUUCAAUUUGUUUCUAUCUUUAUAUUUGGUUUCUAUUCCUUUUAUUACUAUUUAUUUUAUUUAAAAUAAUUUAUAAAAUAUAUUUUUUUAAUUUCACCCCUCUUUAAUUUUUUUAUCUGUCAGAUUUGACUCUCAUUAUUCUGAUUACUAUUUUUUUUAUUUAAGAUAAUUUUUUUUCUUCUUACAAUUUUAUCCUCUAAUUUUUUCCUAUUAAAUUUUUUCCUUAUUUUUUUUCACUUUAGCUAAUUUUUUAAAAUUGAUAUUUUUCUCAAUUUCAUACUUCAACAUUGAAUUAGUUGAAAAUUGAGUUUUUUUUAUUGAGUCUAGGUCUAAGAUUUCAUGGGUUGCGAGUUUGGAAGAUCAACCCAAAUUUAGGAGAUUCACUCGGGUUUACUUAGUCCUCCCCUUUUUUUAAGUUCAUUUUUUUUCAGUUUCAUCAUUAAACAUUUAUUUAAUUGGAGAUUGGACUCUAUUAUUAUUUUUUAUUUGAUUUCUAUAGGAUUUUUUACUGAUUUUGAAAAUAAAUCGGGUUAUCUCAGGUGUUUUUAUUUGUCGUUCUUUGUUAAAUCUUGUUUUUUUAAAAAGAAAUUUUAUUUUUUAAUUAAAUUAAAGUAAUUGAUUAAACAUAGGCGUGAGAUGCUCACUUCAUGAUAUUUUGUUUGUUUUGUUUUUUGAAUCGUUUCUCUUACAACGUGUGCUGCGUCUUUUAGCGUCGCUGAGCAUCCUAUCACAAUGGUGUUAGAACCGUCUCUGUGAGUUUUUUUCAAGUAGUGAGGUGAUGUCGAAGGUAGAGCGACAUUGAAUAUCUAAUGAGCUUUUCCUUUUCUCCUUCCAAAUACAAUAUUGAUAAUUUAUUUUUUAUAGUUAAUUAUUAUUGAUUUUUUUUUUUUUUUUAUUGUCAAGACUUAUUAAAUUCAAUCAAAUCAAUGAUUGAGAUCUUAAUUUUUUUUUAAAAAAAAAUCAGAACCGCCUGAAUAUCUAUCUUUAUAUUAUGAAAAAAUUAACUCGAUUCAUGACGCGGCGCGAGUCACCAAAAUAUUGACCAUCAUAUAGUGUAAACAAAAUAUUCAUGGCAGCAAUUCCUAAAUUAAAAAACCCUGGCAACUGAUUAAAAAAAGAAAAAUUGACCCGCGCUGCUUCUGUCGCCGUCAUGACGGCGCCAUCUGGCAAUCCAAAGUCCAAACAAGACCAUGGCUCAAAACGUUCAAUAAAGAAGCACACACCUAACGGUUGGUAUUAUAAUUAAAUUAAAACCCGAGGUUUAUUCUUAAUCCGCAUUUGAUUAUCUCUCUCUCUCGAUAUGUUUUCUUUUUUCUUUCAGACUCGAUAGAUAAUUAAAUUAAUUGGAAGACCACAUUUCCGAUUCUCUUUCUUAGUUAUUUUCUUCCUAUGUUAUCUUACCUACAUUAUCUCAUGAUGUCUUCUUCCCUGUCUCCUAGGUUUAGGCCCUGAGCUAAAAUCUCAAGUGUUUUUUUAGUCUAAUAAUAAAGUGUUUUUGAAUUAAUUUAUACAUCAAUUAAUAUUAAUUUUUAUUUUUUUUUAAUUUCAAAGAUACGCACCUGCAUAACUUGGUAUAUUUAAAUAAUUUAUUUUGAAUCUAAAAAAAAACCAAUCUCAUUAACCAUUAAUGAACUCUUAAAUGUAAAAUUAGGAAUAAUGAUCUAAAAAGAAAAUGCUUGCCCCUCAAAGCAAGUAUCAAAAUCAUCUCUUAUGAAGUUUAUAAACGAAUGAAAGUUUAAAUUGUUUUUUGAAGUGUUUUUUUAUAUAAAAAUAUAUAAAAAUAAUAUUUUUUUAUUUUUUAAAAAUUAUUUUUGAUAUCAAUGCAUCAAAACAAUUUAAAAUAUAUAAAAAAAUUAAUUUUUUUUUAAAUUUAAAUUUUUACAAAACAUGAAACACAGUUUAAAUGCCAUAUUCACGGAGGAAGCACCGUUCCCGUCAUUCACCGUCAAUUCUAGUAACAGUUAUUAAUCAAUCAAUCUUACAGAUCUCAUGCAAGGCUUCCCUUCUAGAAUUACUCGCGUCACCGUAAUAAAAUUACCUUCCAAUAAAUAAUAAUAAUAAUAAUAAUAAUGAAAAAAGUCUUCAAAGUCUCGAAGCCAUCAGUCCUCGCAUAUACGGUGCUAAAUUUCCAUGGAAAAAGCAUUUUGACAAAUUCGUACAUCUAGAAGGAGCGUGUUUUCACAAUUAAUAUAAUAUUUCAUAACAAGAAGACUUGCUUUUCUUUUUGGGGGUUAAACAAGGAUAUUUCCGGAUUAAUUUUCAUUUAUCUAUAUAAUAAAAAAACAGAAUGGCGAGUGCUCCUAAAACAGGGAAGUAUUUUUUUAUAUAAACCAUCAUGUAAAGAAUAUUUCAACAAUAAAGAUAUUUUUAGGUUAGUUUUCAGCUAUCAAGAUUCAAGACUAAAUCUUUUUCGAUGAAAUUCUAAAUAAAGUAUUUCUGUUUUAAUGGACUCAAGAAGAUAUUUUCUUCAAACUUUGAAUGUCAAAGAAAAAAACCCAAAUUUCUUUAUCAUUUAACUAAAACCUUAAAAAAAUUAUAAAAAAUAAUCUUAAAUUCGUUUGAAAAUGACUUUAAAAAUAAGUUUAGUAUAAAAUUAAUACUUUUAAGAGUCUUGAAUAUUAAUAUAUCAUCAUAAAAAAACACAAAAUAAAUAAAUAAAUAAAACUAAUGCACUUCCAAUUCCACUUUUCCAAAAGCAAUAAAUGAAAAGGUAACUAUUUUCAAAGCAGCAGGGUAGCUAUUGAACCAAAGAGAAAAUAAUAAAUGAAAGAAAAUGAAGAACCAAAGAGAAAAGGUAACUAUUUUCUUUUUUUCGAAGAAAAAAGGUAACAGAGAGUUAAAUGAAAAGAGAAAAAACGAAAGGUAAAAAAACAAAAAAGAGGGAUCUAAUUGAACCAAAGUCUACGUUCAUAGCGUACAAGAUGCGCCAUCUCUCUUCUUCGUUUUCCUGCUGCUUUCCUUCUCCAAGAAAAAAUAAAAGAGAAAAUCCAAUGAAGGAAUAUCUUAAUUUAAUCAAAAAUACCAAUUCAAUGUAAGACUGCCAUCAUACACGUUGACAUUUUUCUCCACUAUCUAUUUAUAAGGAGAAUGGUUUGUUUGAGGACACAAUCCUGUUAACACCUUUGUGUCCUUCAGAGUAAACCACCCUUGUACUCUCUUGCCUUUGUGUUCUUGUUCAAAGGUAGAGAUUACAUAUAAUAAUUCACAUGAUCAUAGCUUCCCUUGUACUCUCUGCUUUUCUCUAAUCCCCUGUCAAUUUUCCUCGAAGUUCUUUGCUUUUCCCUUCUUUUCUUGUUCAAUUUUGAUGCUUGUGUUUUUGGGUUCUUGAAUUCUUAGCUUUUAGGGUUCAAUCACAUCUGGGGUUGGAUAUUACUGUGAAUUCUGCUUCUGGGUAUUCCUGUUUUCAUUCAAAGGAGCUGCAUUUUUAGCAUUCUUAAGUAUAAAGCCAAAAGGUUCUGGUGUUUGUUAGAGAAAGAGAGACAUGGCUGGUGGUGGUAAAAGGAAGAGGUUGAGUCUGAGCAAACUGUACUCGUUUGCAUGUGGAAAGACAUCUUUAAAGGGUGAUCAGUCCCAGAUGGGGGCACCUGGGUUUUCCAGGGUAGUUCACUGCAAUGAACCAGACUGUUUUGAGGCCAAGAUUAGAAGAUAUAGUGGCAACUAUGUUAGUACUACAAAGUACAAUGUUGCUACUUUCUUGCCCAAAUCAUUGUUUGAGCAGUUCAGAAGAGUGGCUAACUUCUAUUUCUUGGUUGUGGGUAUCUUGGCUUUCACCCCUCUUGCACCUUACACAGCUGUCAGUGCUAUUUUCCCCCUUAUUGUUGUUGUUGGAGCUACCAUGGUUAAAGAAGGUAUUGAAGAUUGGAAGAGAGCUCAGCAGGUAUGGUUUUAAUUUUUUAUUUGUUUGCUCAGAUUGGAUAUGUUUAUUGAUUAUGGUUUGAUGUGUUUGUAAUGUCUUCUUGACUUCUCUUAAAGUGAAGUUUCAAAUUACUCUCUACUGAUUGAAUGGUAUUCAUAUGAUUUGAUGAUGAAAUUUUGGGAUUAUUUUUUUAUUUUUUUUUGAUUUUUUUCAUGUUAUUUGCUUGGACAUAUCUGGGAAAUAUUUUGCAUAGAAGUUUAGUAAGGCUUUAGAUGACACCGAUAAACAAGAUGAAAGAUCAGAACUUUAACUCAUUUUUACUGAUUCAUGCAUCUUAUCCUAGACUUUGUGUGACUUAUAAGAAAUAUUGAAACAUCAGAUACAGGAUGAGCCUUCUGCUCUCUCCUAGGGUAAUUUGUGCUACACUAGUUAGCAUCGAAACUCCUGUUCCCAAGAAACAGGACUAUACAAAUUGCAGUCCAGUUGAUAUUGGAUAUGUUUUACCUGCAACUUCUAAAAUGCUUCCGUGUUCUCGUGCAUGCUAUCAGAGAUGUCUGAGUGGCAAAUGAUAAGUAUGCUUGAUCAUCUAUCCUCUAUUGAAAUUUCUCAUAUCUGAUUUGUACUCUUUUCUUUCGGAAUGGAUUCUCAGGAUAUCGAGAUGAACAAUAGAAAAACUAGAGUGCACCAGGGUGAUGGAACUUUCAAAUCUACUGGAUGGAAGAAUCUGAGGGUGGGAGACAUAGUGAAGGUGAAGAAGGAUGAAUACUUUCCAGCAGACCUCCUCUUGCUCUCAUCAACUUUUGAAGAUGGAAUCUGCUAUGUUGAGACCAUGAAUCUAGAUGGAGAAACAAAUUUGAAACUCAAACAGGCAUUGGAGGCAACAGCAUUCAUGCACGAGGACUCUUACUAUAGGGAUUUCAAGGCUCUUAUCAAAUGUGAAGACCCAAAUACAAAUUUGUACUCCUUCGUUGGCACUCUGGACUUUGAACAGAACCUGUAUCCCCUCUCUCCUCAACGGCUUCUCCUCAGAGACUCCAAACUCAGAAAUACAGAGUAUAUAUAUGGGGCAGUUAUCUUCACUGGACAUGACACAAAGGUUAUGCAAAAUUCUACAGCUCCCCCUUCAAAGAGAAGCAAAUUUGAGAAGCAGAUGGAUAAAAUUGUUUACUUCUUAUUCUUUGUUCUAUUUAUGAUGGCAUUUAUUGGAUCUCUUGUUUUCGGAGUUGCAACUGACAAUGACUUGGAUGGAGGGAGGAUGAAAAGGUGGUAUCUCAAACCAGAUGAGUCUACUGUUUACUUUGACCCUAAAAGAGUGGUCUUAGCAUCAAUUUGUCACUUUCUGACUGCUCUCAUGUUGUACAAUUACUUCAUCCCAAUCUCCCUGUACGUGUCAAUUGAAGUCGUCAAAGUUUUUCAGAGCAGUUUCAUCAACAACGAUAUCAAUUUGUACUAUGAGCCAUCUGACAGGCCAGCACAUUCUCGCACCUCAAAUUUGAAUGAGGAACUUGGGCAAGUGGACACGAUACUUUCUGACAAGACUGGAACAUUGACCUGCAAUUCCAUGGAGUUCAUCAAGUGUUCUGUCGCGGGGACUGCUUAUGGCCAUGGGGUUACAGAGGCUGAGCGGGGAAUGGGUGUGAGAGAAGGUGAAAGUGUGAAUGGUUGGGACCAGAGCAAGGAUUCUUCCACUACAAAACCGCACAUUAAAGGUUUCAAUUUUAAAGAUGAAAGGAUUAUGGAUGGGAACUGGGUCCAUGAACCCCAAGCUAACAUCAUUGAAAAUUUUUUCCUCUUGUUGGCAAUCUGUCACACUGCCAUACCUGAUGUGGAUGAAGAAACGGGGAAGAUUUCAUACGAAGCUGAAUCACCAGAUGAAGCAGCAUUUGUGAUUGCUGCAAGAGAAAUUGGUUUUGAAUUCUACAAAAGGACUCAAACAAGCGUUGCAGUGCGUGAGUACAAUCCAAAGACUGGGAAGAAAGUUGAAAGGGUGUAUACAGUUCUGAAUGUUUUGGAGUUUAACAGUGCAAGAAAGCGGAUGUCUGUGAUAGUAAGAAAUGAGGAGGGGAAACUGCUAUUACUUUGUAAAGGUGCUGACAGGUUUGUGAUCAACUACCUUGAAACCCUUGAAAUUGGAAAAUUCCUUGUCUUUUAACCUAUUGCUUAUUAAUUAAAUUUAACCUGUAUCAUAUGCAGUGUCAUGUUUGAAAGGCUUGCUAAGAGUGGAAGGGGGUUUGAAGAGGAGACCAAGAAUCAUGUGAAUGACUAUGCUGAUUCUGGCCUGAGGACCCUAAUACUUGCCUAUCGUGAACUUGCUGAAGAAGAAUACAAAAUUUUUAACCAGAAAUUCACCGAGGCUAAGAAUUCAGUUAGUGCAGAUCGGGAAACAUUGAUUGAUGACAUGGCAGAGAAGAUCGAGAGGAAUCUAGUUCUUCUUGGCGCAACUGCUGUUGAGGAUAAACUCCAAGAAGGGGUGAGUAAGAAAACCUAAAAUGUUCUAAAAUAAACCGGCCUUUUUAGAGAUCUUGAAUUUUUUGUUCUUAUACUGUGUACCCUUUAGGUUCCUGCCUGCAUAGACAAACUUGCUCAAGCUGGAAUUAAGAUGUGGGUUUUGACUGGAGACAAAAUGGAGACUGCCAUAAACAUUGGGUAUGUUGUUUUUUGAAAAAGAGUGUUUGUAUUGACACUUUUAAGAUGAGUGGACAUUUCAUAUUAUACGUGGAGGCAUCUGACUUAAAAUUUUGAAUAUGCAGCUUCUCCUGUUGUUUGCUUAGACAAGGAAUGAAGCAGAUCAUAAUCAAUUUGGAGAAUCCAGAGAUCCUGUCAUUGGAAAAAACAGGAAACAAGGAUGCCAUUACUAAGGUAAAGACUGCUUUAAUUCAUCAAAGAUUUCAGUCCACUUCAGGUUAUUUACCCGUGAUUUAUUUUCCUUUUCUCCUGGUGUCAUCUCGGUUGGGAGAAAGGGUGUUGAAGUCAAAGAUGCACCUUAAUUGUUAUGAAUCUAUAUGUGAUAUUGAUGGUAUAUACAUUCAUUUUCCAGGCAUCAAGGGAAAGUGUUCUUCGUCAAAUAACUGAUGGAACGGCCCUGCUUACUGGACCAAGUGGAACUGCUGAGACAUUUGCAUUGAUAAUUGAUGGAAAAUCACUCGCUUACGCAUUAGAGGAUGACAUGAAACAUUUGUUUCUAGAUCUUGCUAUGAGUUGUGCAUCUGUCAUUUGUUGCCGUUCAUCACCAAAACAGAAAGCACUGGUGGGUUAUUAUUCUUAGUUUUUCACUGCUGUAGGUGCAUGUGUUGUUAGAUAGUAAAGACUUUCUUCUGUACACUUCUCUUGAAAGAAUAAUUGUUUUAAAUGGUAAAAUACAGGUUACAAGACUAGUCAAAUCUGGAACCAGGAAAACAACAUUAGCAAUUGGUGAUGGUGCCAAUGACGUGGGUAUGCUUCAAGAAGCAGAUAUUGGAGUCGGAAUCAGUGGUGUUGAAGGAAUGCAGGUCUUUUCCACAGAACAGCUUACAUCUCAAUUAAUUGUUGAAAAUAUUUCUCUACUUGAUUGUAAUUCUCACCACCUGUUAACCCUAUUUUAUGCUUGUUUUCAACUCAGGCUGCCAUGGCAAGUGAUGUUGCAAUUGCUCAGUUUCGGUAUUUGGAGCGUUUACUACUUGUACAUGGGCAUUGGUGUUACAGGAGGCUCUCAUCUAUGGUAAGGUCAUUCAUAUGUUUGGAUUUGGACAUGGCUUAAUAUUUCAGUAUGGGCAUUAAAUUAACGUCAAUGAUUAUUGAUGAAUGUGAAAUGUCAUCAUGAGUUUUCACCUUUUCAUGAUUAUACUGAUAUAUAUAUAUAUUUUCAUAUGCAGAUAUGCUAUUUCUUCUACAAGAACAUUGCCUUUGGUUUCUCCAUUUGGCUAUAUGAGGCUUAUACAUCAUUUUCUGCACAGUCUGUAUACGGUGAUUGGUUUUUGUCAUUUUAUAAUGUCUUCUUCACGGCUCUUCCAGUUGCCGCUUUGGGUAUCUUUGAACAAGAUGUAUCUGCUGCAAGCUGUCUCAAGGUAUCUCACUCACUCACUUAGCAGACUCAAUUAUGGUCAUUAGAUGGUUAGUAAAGCAAAGUAAACAUCUUGGCCAAAUUUUGAUCAUUUUUUGACUUAUUUCAUAUUUCAGUAUCCUCUACUAUACCAAGAAGGCGUGAAAAAUCUCCUCUUUGGGUGGCGCCGAGUACUUCAUUGGCUGGGUAACGGGUUCUAUACUGCACUAGUCGUUUUCUUCUUCUGCUCAACUGCACUGCAGCACCAAGCCUUCAACCGUGAUGGAAAAACUGUUGGGAUGGAUGUUUUAGGAGGAACCAUGUAUACUUGCAUCGUGUGGGCUGUGAACUUGCAGAUGGCAUUGACUGUUUGUUACUUCACCAAAAUACAGCGUGGCCUAAUUAUAUAUUGUCUUUGUAUGUUGUACAUUUUCUUCGUGGCAUUUGGGUCCCUGUCUCCGUCAAUGUCUGCAAUUGGCUACAAACUCUUUACAGAAGCCCUUGCCCCGGCUGCUUCUUACUGGUUUACAAUCAUAUUUGUGAUAAUCGCAGCACUGUUGCCCUUCUAUGCAUAUUCAGCAAUUGAAACAAGGUUCUUUCCCAUGUACCACCAGAUGAUACAAAGGUUAGAGAGUGGGAAACAUGAAGAUGAUCCUGAGUAUUGUGAUAUGAUGCGACAAAAGUUAUUGCAGCCACCAACAUCAGUAGGUUUUUCAGCACGGUUGGCAGCACGAGCUAAUAAGUUAAGGCGUAAGAAUAAGAAUCAGCCACAAUAAUAGCUGAUUGUUCCUGGAGGGCAUCUGUCAACAUUUCUGGGUUGUGGUUAUCUGCUCAGAAGCUGAACUCUGUCCCAGCUGUAUACGACUUAAUGAGGCUUCUACUUUACCAGAAGGUAUGGCCCUGCAAGUUAAGAGUUUUUGGUGAUUUUUUAUGGAAGCAUCGUUCAGCUGUACCAUAAGUGGAACAGGAGACUUAUGCCAAAAGGAAUUUAAAUUUUGUUUGUUGUAAAAGAAAUGUAAUUUUUAUACCAACUUGUAUUAUUAUUACAAUGUAUUUAGGACACCAUUGAAUUGGUCGUAGAUUUGGAUUGUAUUUGUUGUUUACAAGAAUAAACUCUUCUUUUUCUUAUUGUAACUUGUAGUUCUAUUGAGUUUAUUAUUUUUUAUUACUUCUUAAUAAACUUGGAUUCUUGUUUACUAUUGAUUAUGGAGUAGAGGAAUUUUCGUUUUCUUGUCUUUAAUUCCCUAUGCUUGAUGAAUUUGUUGAAUCUCCUGAAGCACACAACGGAUAUCUAGCUUGUAACUGCAGUUAAAUGUUAAAACAGCAGGCGGCCAAACGCCCUCUCAUUCUUAGCUGAACAUUCAUUGAUUGGAACUUGAAAUUCUCGGCUAUAAUGUUCUUUCUCUUUUCCUUUUUGGUAAUCUUGGCCAUAACGUUGUUUCCUUGGCAGAAUAAAUGUCAAUAUAAUUGUUUGUUCUUUACCUGGGAAACACCAGAGAGGGAACUGAUAAGUGAACUUCCUUAUUGCCCUGGUUUGAUUUCUAAAUGAGUUAGUUGCACAAAAGCUUUAGCCCUAAUCUCAGUGGUUUCAGGUUGAAUUUUAAAUGAGUCAAUUUGAUCUAUAAUUGUGUUGCCCUUUACUGCAAGUUCCCAUUCCAUCUCUCACCCACAGUUAGCAUCCGUAUCUGAGUUUGCUCUUGCCAAGCCAGAUUAAUCCAAUUCUGCAGAAUUCUUUGUAAGGAUCACAGAACAGAAUAUUGAUUUACGUACGACCAUAAUUUGCAGCACACAUUUUGUUUUGUUACUGCAAAAAUAUACUGAGCCAGGAUUAAGUGAAUGGUUAAUCCAUUAGUUGAUGCAUAGAAAUGGCUGUAUCUGGAUGGAUCUGUAGAUGAUAUCGCCUCAAUUAUGAUAGGGAAAAUAGAGUUACUCAUACAAUGAGUUCUUCACAUAAAUGCAACUGGCCAUCAUCAGUAAUUGCAAGAAACUGAAGUUCAUGCAAAAACAUCUUACAUUGCCAUAACCAUGAUCUUAUUCUUAGCAAUCCAAUUACACGGAUUAACAACUACCCUUUUUCCAUUGAAUCAUUGCAUCCAGUUUUCAUGCAUUCAGAGGCCAAAUUGCUUUCUCAAAUGCAGACCGUUGGCCUUGAAUGAUAUGGCAGCCGGUUUCCUAACUUCCAUAGAUUGGUGAUGCCACCAGUAAUGUCAUGUAGCAGAAAAAUUAGUAAUGAAAAUCUUGGACUGGUAGAUAAAAUGUCGUUUUCAUGUUAUUUAUUUAUGUCGACAAUUCCAACCACUACAAUAAAUAUAACAUUAUGCAAUCUACAAGUUGUGUUAACAUGUUUCAAGUGGGAUUCAGGUCUCUCCUCCUUCCAUCUUGUUUACAGGUAUCCCAUGACCAGAUCUUAAAAGAAUUACAUCUACACACAAGAAAUUACGAGAAAGAUGAUAGAAAAAAAUAAGUGAAAGGAAAAGGUCAUCGGAUCAUGCCAAACCAUCAAUGAUAUUGCAGAUCGCCAGAUCCCCAUCAGAGAACAAAAUGCUAAUGACAUAUUAAUGGAUAUUGCAGAUCCCCGCGACGUCCAUGUCCAUGUAUUAACAAGACCAUACCCAUCAUCGAUCAGGCUCUAUGGAACUUUGAUGCCAAGAAAAUCAGCAGCAGAUUUUGCCAUGACGUUUGCAAACUCAUUAAAACUCAAAACACCAUCUCCAUUGGUGUCAGCCUCUCUCAUCAUAUCUGAUAGCUCACGAUACGUCAAAGGGUGUCCCAUUUUAGCCAUUGAUCCUGCAAGCUCAGCAGCAGUAAUGAAUCCAUUGCCAUCCCUGUCAAAUGAUCGAAAAACCUCCAACAACUGCUCCUGGUUGAUCAAUACUUCUUCAUUCAUAUCAGGCAAUAUAGCACUGACCAGCUCAUCAAACUCAACAUAACCAUUUCCAUUAGCAUCCAUGUUUGAUAACAGAACAUGAAGUUGAUCACCUGUAGGUUUGAGGCCAAGAGAACGUAGAAGCGCAGCGAGCUCCAGCUGCGUGAGGCUGCCAUCGGAAUCCAUGUCGAAGCGAAUGAAGAUGUCCUUGAGCUGCUUGAGCUGAUCGGUCUGAAGGGUUGCCAUCAUGUCUGGAUGGAAAUGGAGGAGGUGAAAGGAAAGGAAAUUAAAGGAAAGGAAUGGUUUUUUUUCUUUUUUUUUGUAUCUGUAUUUUGGCUGGUUAAGGAUGCGGGGCUAAUUGAGUGUUGUUCUUUUCAACUGGAAUGGUUCAACCAAAACCGCGUUAUAUCAUUGCCGUGUUAUGUGGGGGGUAAAAACGAGCAAAGGAAUUACGCAGUCAAGUUUCUGAAAUAUUCUCUGUGAACGUUGGGGCAUGUGGGUUCGCGGUGGCGUUGCCUUAUUUUUUUCAAAACUCCAUGUUUGCUAUUUUUGUGCUCUAUUUUGAUCUUUCUCAGGACAUAGUUGUCUUAGAAAGAAUUAUUACAAGAAAGUAUCUGGAACAGAAUAAUGGUACUUUUUGUACAUUCAUCUAAAAACCUUGACACCGGCUUUGAAGGGCGUUGAGUUCUCUUUUCAUACUCUAUUCAUUAUUAUAAAAUUAAUCGAGAAUAAAUAAAUAUUUUUUUAAUUUAGAUUGCACAAUAAAAAAAACUAUGAUAUAGCAAAAUAAAAAGAAUAUGGCAUGAAAGAAUAUUUCAAAAUAAUUUUUUUUAUUAUAAUUUAAACUUAUAGAAAAUUUUUAUUUGAUCAAAUAUAAAAAAUAAUGAACAAUUAAAAUGUAUAGUAAAAUAAUAAAAAUAUUCUUAAAAUAAAAUAGAAAUUGAAUGAUUUUUGAAGGUUUAGUAUCGAUAGUAAAAUAUUUUAAUUAAUUUAAUACAUUUAUGUGAAUAAAAUUAGAAUGAAUCAUCAUUAAUUGUGAAUGUUUUUAAUUUAAUAUGUAUCUUAUAGUAUUUAACAUAUAUGUUUAUUUUAUGUUUACGUUUAAAUAUAUCAUAUUAAUACGUUUGAUUUUGAUCCAUAAAAAAUACACUUAAUCAUAGAAAAUAUUAAAGGGCUUAAUUUUAAUUAGUGGGUCUAUAGAAAAAAUCACAAAACAACUAUUAAUUAUUGAAAUAAAUAAAUUUUAAUAAAAUAUUAAAUAAUGGGAAAAAAACAAAUUAAAAAAAAAAAGGAAAGUGGGGUCAGGGUGUGACAACAGGGCUCGCGUGCUUCGUCGGCUGGAUGUGCAUGGCCUCGGCGUUAAAAAAAUCAAGAAUAGAGGUGAACAGCGUGUCAUCAGCAACAGGUGGAACUUUUGAUGACUGUUUCGUCGAAAAAUCGGCAGCCGCUAGUUUUGACCUCAAAAGUCAAAACCCAAUUUCUAUACUAUUUUUACCUUUAAAUCAUCCCAUCAAUAUUUAAAAACUAUUUUUAAACCUCAAAAUAUAUUUUUAAUCAACUCUAAGAACUCAAAAAUUAUGAUUCUCUCCUCCCUUCUCUCUCAUUGAUUCUCCCCUCAUUCUACAUACACGGGCCUCAUGUUAACACUAAUAAAUUUUGGGGACCAUUCUAUAUAAACCUUGAGCACUGAGGACCAGAAUGAAUUCACAUUUGUAAGAAAUUACUUUAAUUUUAAUUUAAUUUAAUUUUUGUAUAAGGAUGUUGUUUUUUUAGCACCAUAGCUAGCCUAUUCAUAGCUGCAGUGCAACCCUUCAUUAUCUUUUAGUUAAUUAUUUUAAUUUAAUUAAUAAUAAUGUAAUUUAAUUUAGUCAAUAAAUAAUAUUUACAGAGGAGGCAAAAAGAAAGAUAAUUUCUUGUGAAAGCAUUGGCAAGUUUGGAGGGCUGAUAAAACUCCAAUGAAGAGAGAUUUAAAUACUGUCAGGGGAUUUGUCUAGAAAUUAUUUUUAUUUAAAAAUAUAUUAAAAUAAUAUUUUUUUAAUUUAUUUUUAACAUCAGAUUAUCAAAACAAUCUAAAAUUAUUUUGAAAUUUAAAAAACUCAAAAACAUUUAAAAAUGAAUAGUAACUUGGAUGACACGGGAAGGUUAGUUUUUGAAUGGAUUGGCCUUGGGAGCAUGAAGGUUUGAAAGUUAUCGCUUCUGUUGAAUGUUCAAAUUGAGGAGAGAAUUCAGUGGUUGACUAGUGAAAACCAUUCAGGGUGUGAAAUCAAAAUUGAGUUUGCUAAUAAAACCAAUAAUUAAUCAAACCCAUCUGAAAAGAUUCUCAUCCUCCCCCAGAAUCCACAAUGCUAAUCGUUGAAAAUUAUCGCAUUACACAUUAAACAAUGAAUGCAGCGUUGAACAUUCUUAGAAAAUCACCAUAUUCGUCCUCCCAGACCAGUAUACACAGGAGGGGAGUGAAAUUAUAUCGUUGGAUCUAUCUAAAUUCUUUUCAUUGUUUUAUUUAAACCCAGUAAACGUAAGAUAGGUGUCAUCAUUGUACAGAUGCCUGCUCUCUUGACUCCCUCUGGGAUUGAUUGGCAUGUUAAAAGCAAAAUAUGCUAUUGGUGAGAGCACCAUAUGGAAUUUUGAUUAUGGAUAUGUUCAUAAAUUGGCAAUAAUAAUGGUGUGUUUUCAUUCUUCCAAAACUCUAGCUCCUCCUGACGCUUCAAAACAUGGGAUAGAAGCCAUUGUCACGAGCUGAGAUCAAUCAGCCCAGAUUUCGAGUCUUUCAGUGGCUUUCUUUAUUUAACACUUCAUUUGAUCCCGAUCACUGCUUGUGACACACACUAUAACUAGUCACAUCGGCACCACCCUGUACCGGUGCAAUCAUCAUUUGCUACAGAUGUAUAACUGGAUAUAUUCACACCAUUCAUUCUUCAUUACUUUGUUAUCCACGAGAAAAAGAAUGUAAACUGUUUGGCAUGCAACCAGGAAUACAAGAGAAAAUGGUAAGAGUCAACUGAGAGUGACACGACUCUUACAUGCUUCAAGAUGAAUGAACAAAAUUGAAUCGAGAUUUUAUUAACACAAAAAAUACUGUUCAGAACAAAAAUUUGCAGGCGCUAAUUACAAGAAGAAAGAAUUACAGCACCUGUGACAUGGGAAAAUUAUAAUAACCUAGCUACCAGUAUCAAGGGCUUGAAAUCCAAUCCCUACAGGAGACAGUUCAUUUCAGAGACCAUCCUGUACAUCGUGAGCUUGUAUAUGUUCCAUCUCAAAAUUCAUGAAUCCUACUGUUCAUAGAUGAAUUUAUCUCUAACACUAUUUACCAUGUGCUCUUUAAUUAUCCAGGCUAUAACAAUCUAUACUGUAAUUUUGACUACCAAAUGCCAUCCUUCGAAACAGUCUAAUUUCUUCAGAUUGUUGUGCAGAGUUGAAUAGCUCACUUUCUCCCACUCUCAUUCCGUUGGUUAGAUCUGCUAUCGCUAAAGUAUCAAAAGCUCUAACAACCUGAGAAGCAUAGGCAGGCUUAGAGAAAUGCACCUAACAUCUCCAAAUCUGGACUUUUAAUGGAGAAGCAAGAAUUUUCAGCUAGUUCAGUGAUCAAAUUGCAAUUACCUGUCCCAUCCGUGGCCUCUUAGAAGCUGAAUGCCGCACACAGGCCGCAGCAGCCUCAAUCAUCCGGAACAUUUCGCUUUCAAUGUAGUUCUUUUCAAGCCUUGGAUCUGCCAAACUUUCAAGUUCCUCAUUUUCUAGUGCAUGAUUUAGCAAAGGUCGAGCCUGGAAGAAAGGUAAGAAAAGUUUCAGCAUGAAAUUGUGGAAAAUCAAAUACCAGUUCAACACUUCUAUUUCUUUCAACAUGUGCAUUUUUUAGUUUUCUUUCUAUACAUUCCAAAAAAAAAUUACUGGAAAGAGAACAAAAGAAAACUACAAACAGCAGGAUUAUGUAUUCUCCACCACAAGGUACAGAGAAGAGGAAACAACAUCAAGACAUAACAUUGUUUCACCUCUGUACAUUUGUUUCAUUGGUUACACACUUUUUUUUUUAUUCUUGCACUGAGGAAUAUCAUAAUUAUGCAUUGAAUUUAAAUCAAGGUUCAGUAAGAUUAGUCCUAGAUCUGGGAAGGCUUUUAAUUUUCCAUGUACUGAGUUAUUUUCUUCAGUAUAAAAUCUAUAUAUGAUUAGAGGCCACAGGCCACGAAAUCAAUGGAGCUCCAGAAAACUCAACAGAACCCCGAUCCCCCACCCUGCAUACACCAAGGAAUAACAUCCACUCAAUAAGCAAAUCUUCCAAACAACCUAUUUCUAAAAUAAGCACACCUGUUCCUGAAUCAAACCACUAUGGGAAUAUAUAAGAAGUUCAGAACAGGUCUUGUAGCCUUUUUACCGAUUCUAUCCACAAUUCAAAUGUGAGAAACUAGUAGUGUUUCGAGCAGAAGGUAACCAUGUUUCUAUUACCCUUGUAACUAAUUUUCUAACAAAUGUAGCAACUUCAGAAACAUCUUCUCAUAUCAAAACUAAGCAGUGAGAAGAAAAACAUAUAACAGAAAGCAUAAAAAAUUACACGACUCAAACUAAGCUGUAUCGAUAUAACCAGAAACUUCAGGAUAAAUGAUCUAAUUGAAUUUAUCAUUUAUGCAUGCUGAAAUAGAAGGCAAAUCUUUAGAAUAGAUCUGCUCAGCAGACGAGGGUUGCUAAGAAUAAGGUCCACAAAGAGUAAUUGAUCCAUCAAUAAAACUGUCAUUCAAAUCCUUAUUACUAGCAACUAGGUUAUUGGAUCUGGAUGUAUCUUAAUGCAUGCUCCAGUUAACAAUCAACAAUUCGUGAAAAUUGAAUGAGUCUAUCGUCCAGAAGCAGAAUGCUAGCCAGGGUGCAUAAACUACUUACCCAUUCAACAAGACUCUCCUCUCCCAUGGGCUGGGAUGCAUCCACAGGCUUCCGUCCAGUGAUUAGCUCCAAAAGCACAACUCCAUAUGAGAAUACAUCAGAUUUCUCUGUUAAUUUGCCGCUUGAUGCAUAUUCAGGGGCCAUGUAUCUGAGUGAUCAAUUAAACAUUAGAUGCACAUAGACAUGGCUGAUAUAUGUUCAUUGCACAGGAAAAGAAAACCAAAUACAGCUGUACUUUGAAAAUAGUAUUCCCAUCAACUCCCGACUGCCCAAAAGGGCUGAAACCCUCCCUGCUCACACAAAAAAGGGCAGAGAGAGAAUAGGGGUGCCCCUCAGUGGCCCUGUAGUGGCAGGUAUUUAAGCAAAUAAUAGAUGAUCUCUUACCCAAAGGUUCCCAUAACACGAGUUGUUACAUGAGUGUUUGAAUCAAGAGCUAAUUUGGCAAGCCCAAAGUCUGAAACCUGCAAAUUAAAAUCUAGAAACAGUUAAACCACAAUCUAAUUGAAACUAAUCAUAAACAAAUGUUAAAAGGGAAAAUUGUGCAUACCUUAGCUUCAUAGUUGUUAUCUAAGAGAAUAUUUGACGACUUAAUAUCCCUGUGAAUAAUCCGAGGAUGACCUGAACAAAUAAUAGUAAAUCAAAUGAAUAACACCUCCACCAUAUGUAGUCUAAUAAGGAAACCCAUUCAUUAUUUUAGCGUUAAGGAAAUAGCGCACCUAUCAAUGAACAUUAUAUGGCUGGAGUUCUUAUUAACAUGUUCUUAACUCUAGAUCAUCAGUAGUACCAAAAUUGAUAUUUUCAUACUAAUCUUGAUUGAGGUAGAAUUCUGUAUGUGCUUUAAGGAUGAGAAUAUUGUGAAAUUGCAUUCGGUUAUUAGAUCCUUGUUUUUUAUUACUGAAAGUUGGAUCAUAACUUUUGAAAAUGAAGAGUGGGUACGGAUGGAUGGCUUAACCUUUCAAUAACAAGAAUAGGGAAAAGGAAAGCAGUUGCCAAGUGUUGAAAAAGAACAAAAAACAGGUGAAUAAUGUCUUGAGUUAAUUUUGGAAGUGAAUGUGAACAUUAUCUAGCUAAUAAAAUCCAGAUUUGAAAUACUUACAGUCUUCAUGGAGAUAAGCUAUUCCCCGAGCUGCUCCAGCAGCAAUCUUAACACGUGUUGCCCAAUCCAGAGCCAGCCCACCCACCCCUACAGAAAGAAAGACCAACAAGCAUGACUGAUGAUCAUUUUUAUGAACUGACAUGCCAAAUCUCAUCUAUAAGUUGUAGCUUUACCGUGAAGAUGGAAAUAAAGGGUAUUGUUAGGGACAUAAUCAUAUACGAGCAAUCUUCGGGUCUCACAUAUGCAGUAGCCCACAAGAGAAACCAAAUGGCGGUGGUGUACGCGACUAAUAAUCUCAACUUCAGCUUUAAAUUCUCGCUCACCUUGCCCUCCACCAAUUUUUAGCUGUUUCACUGCCACAUCUCUCCCAUCUGGAAGGUAACCUUUGUAUACAGAACCAAAUCCACCUUCUCCCAAAAGGUUUUGGGAUGAAAACCCAUUUGUCGCCUUGACUAGCUCUUCAAACGCAAACAAAGGCCUUGAAUUACCUAAUCCGCUUGAUUCAGUUGGCAAAGAAACACAAUCACUGCUAGAACCACUUGCAAUUAGGGGAGCCGUAGAAUGAGUCUUUGUGAAAGUUGAACCUGAGGGGGCAAAUUUGAAAAACUUCAGAGUUCUUGUCAACAAUCUCAUUCAAAGUGCUUAGCAGCAAUCUCAUUAAAUGCAAGUUUGCUAAGAAUAGAUUACCUUCUUAGUAGGAGAAAUCAGAAUAGAUUAACCAAUUAUCUGUAUUUUUAUAAGAUCCAAACCAUAUGAUUUAGUUUUGCCAUUUUUAUUUGUUAAAGAAAAUAUGCUCUCGAACAUUUGAUUGUAUAUCAGAUGCAGUUCAAUUGGCAAAAGUUAAAUCAAAUUAUGAGAAUAAACACCAACCGAAGUUUUGGGACCCUCUUGGCAGAAUUCCGAAUAGCGUUACCUAGUGACUAGGAGUGGUACUAUUGAGAAAAGUCAUAACAAGCUAAAGAAGCAAAGGUGAAAUGCUGUUUAAAAUAAACACCUGAUCUUGGAGAAGAGCCCAAAGAAGAUGGCAUAACAUAAACACCAUUGAGUCCAGAAAUCUCUUUUCGCCGCCUCCUCAUGCACCAGAGAGCCAGUCCAACAAGGCUGAGCAUUAUAAUUCCUAUUGCUGCACCAAUAGCCACCAUACCUCCAGUACCGAUGCCCCCAUUACCUGUGGAGUUUGAACUUCCAGGUGAAUUAGGGGCGGUAUUGUUCGUGGGUGAUGGCGGGGAAACAAGUGCGCGUGGAGGCGGAGCCAAUCUUAUUUUUGGCGGUGACAAUGCUGGUGGAUUGGAAUCUGAUGGGACAGGUGUUGCUUGAGGAGAAGUUGGAGGAGUAAGCCUAGGAGGUGGGGGCACAUUACUGGGACGAGGGGCUAUUGAAAUUGGUGGACGUGGUGAAUUCUCAGGUGGAGUUGAUGCUGGUGGUGGAGGUGAUCUUCGAGGAGGUGGCAAGGAUGCUGGUGGGGGGGUCGGAGGAGGUGGUGGUGGUGAAUUUUGAGGUGGCCUAGAUGAGGGUUGUGAUGGAGGUGAACUCUGAGGUGGCGGUGUUGAUGGUGGUGGAGGUGAACUCUGAGGUGGCAGAGAUGGUGGUGGAGGUGAACUCUGAGGUGGCGGUGAUGAUGGUGGUGGUGGAGAUGAGAUUUGAGGCGGUGAUGGAGAUGAACUUUGAGGUGGAGGUGUCGAUGAUGGUGGUGGAGAAUUUUGAGGUGGUGUUGUUGAUGGUGAUGGUGGAGAGGAACUUGUAGGUGGAUUCAACAGUGGUGGUGGAGGUGCAGUUGAUGGUGGAUUAGAUGGUGGUGGUGGUGGAGGUGAGCUCACAGGCGGAGUGGCUGAUAGUGGUGGAGGAGAAUUGGAGUUUGAUGGAGGAUCACUACUGGAUAAAGGCGGAGAACGUGAUGUCAUAGGAGGUGGUGGUUGUGGUGGAGGGGUUGAUGGUGUGGCAGGAGGAGGAUUAGAAACAGUAGGAGGAGGGGUUUGGGGUGGUGGUGAUGGAGCAGGAGGGGUUCUUGGGUCUGGUGGAUUGGCAUUGGGCUGUGUAGGUGGGGAAGUGGGAGGAGGAGAGGAGGCUUGUGGUGGUGAACUAGUAGAGGAUGGUGGUGGUGUACCGUUUAAAGGUGGUGGAGUAGCAGAGGGGGGUGAAUUUGGGGAUGGAGAUACAGUUGCCAUCACUACAGUUCCAAAUCAAGCGACUUCAAAUCACAUCACAGAAUUUAAACUUUCAUUGGCUUUUCACCAAGUUCUCCCAAUUCCAGUACGAAAGGCAAGGUUUAGAUCAAAACACACCCAUCAAUUUCAAGAAAUAACUCCAAAAUGAACAAACUUUAAAACCAAGAGAGAUUCAAAUCACCAAAACUUCACCAACCAUGCUCUGAAAAGUCACCAAACAUUCAUACUUGAAAUCACAGUAACCUCUUUGGAGCCAGACCCUAAUCACUUUCGGGCUUUUUAGCUAAACCCAGAUUUCCAAUCUCUUUACCCGCUAAAAAUCAGAUCAAGAAUCACAAACAAGACCAAAGCCACUUCACAACCUUUUAAGCAACACCCAAAUUGCUAAAUUUAGAGUAGAAUUUAAAAGACCCAGACUUCGAUCAGUAAACUGAUUCCAGCAACGCCAAUAAGAUCCUCUACAUUCAGCGGGCAAAUGCAGCGACACUUACACCAUUAAUUACUCUACAAACAAGAACCCAGAUGCUAAAAACUCAAGAAACCGUACCUUUCCUUUACUUCAGGUCAUUUGCAUUGCGGCCAAUAUCGGCUGGUUCUUUAAAACUCUCUCUCUCUCUCUCUCUCUCUCUCUCUCUCUCUGUCUUACCUACAUAUGAAGUUCAAAUCAGGAACACGGAUUGUGGGGUCUCAAAUCCAAAGCAGUGUCGAUAGAGACCGUCAAAGCUGAAGAAUAAUGAGGCAGUUUUUUUUUAGCAUGAAAAGUAAACAUUCACAGAUUUUUCAAAUCAUCAUCGUCUCCGUCAUAAUAGUGUUAUUAUUAAAUUAAAGGUCAAGGUCUAUUAAAGCCUGGGACUUGCUUCAUGGUAACGUCAAGUCCAUGAUAUAUUUUAUCAACCUACGACUCUUUUUUUCAUUAUGAACCUUCAAGGAUCAGCAUUCAUGUCUUUAGGCUCUCUUUUUUUAAUUUUACUUUAAAUUACUGUUUGGCAAUACUAGUUCGAUAAUGAUUGUAAUUUUCAAGUGUUUUAUAACACUUUGAAAGAUAAUAUCAUAAUUUUUUUAUAUAUUAUUUUUAGAAUAUUUAAUUUUUAACUUUUUAAAAAUCACAUUAACAACUAAAAACCAUAGCUUUAUCAAACUGAUUCUCUCAUUUGGAUCUUUUCUCCUGAGUAUUAACUAGAUUCUCUGUACCGGGUUUGUACAUUUAGAAAUUUUGUUUCGUUUUCUUUAAAUUAAUUGAAUAUUAGAUAAUUACACGUGGAACGAAACUUAUUAUUAUACUGAAAAACAAUUUGCUCAGGAUGAAAUAAAAGGUAUUCUCUCAUAAUUAAUUGUUACUCUCUAGAAACUAGGAGCUUUCCUUUGGUGGAUCUUUGUAUAUCAUAAAGUUAUUUAUUUAUUCGAUGUUAAAAUGACAUAGAUUUGAUAAAUUAAAAAAAAAAUCAAAAUGUGACUAGAUACCCACCUUCCCCACAGAUAAUGAUUUUUUUUUGUCUUCAGGCCUUGUUUGAUACUGUAAACUAACCCAUAAUGGUCUGUAAUCUGCAUGUUCAUUUGGAUUCUUUUUUAUAGUGCCCUGGUUUGACUGAAAUUAAUUAUUACAAAGCUAAUUUUAAUUCAACAUAGUUCUCAUAGCUUUUUAACUGGUGUUUUGGACAACUAUGAAGGUUAAAUUUUAAUAUUUUUAUUUUAAAAAAAAUUACUUUUAACAUUAACAUAUUAAAAUGAUAAAAAACAUUAAAAUAUUAAUUUAAAAUAAAAAAUAUAUAUAUUUUUCAAAAACACCGUGGAAUCCUAGCAUCAAACACCCCCUUAAAAUAAUACAUGUGAUGCCAUAAAUAAAUAAAUAAAUAAAUAUAUAUAUAUAUAUUCUCCAAAUAACAAAUCAACAUUGAUCUUGUAUAUGUAAGAGAUGCCAUUGUUUCUGUUUUAGAAAUGUUUCCGAUGAGAACAAAGGAAUGCUCAGAGUAAAAUAUCACCUCUAAUGCAGUAGAAUCUGCAAAUAUUCUUUCCAUCCAUCUGCAUUUCUUUAUAGGGUAAACUUGUGUCUUUACACCCCGUUCAAUCUUCUAUGCUUUAUUUAUUUUGCUACAUCCAUGUGAAUCUUGCACCUCGCAGAUGCAAUGGCCGUGUCGUGUGCGAAAAUAACUUGUAAUGUGUGACAACAAGCUCUCUGUUAUCAAUUUAGAUUGAGCUAUCGUACAAGAUGGUGAGUGGAAAUUGGAUGGGAGAAUAAAGAGUGGUGAACCAGAGAUUUGUCUGGUGAGAAAACUGUGGCUGACGCAGAGGUUGAAGAGGGGGGUCUCACGGCGGAAAAUGCCAGAUCAAAGUGGACAAAAUAUUAACAAGUGGUGGUGGGCCAAUUUUGUCCAAUCAUUGAGGCCAUCCCGUGAAACUUCAAAGAGAAAUUUUGUCCAAUUGUUUCCAGGUUUUGACCCUAUGAAAGAAUUAUAGAUUUUGAUAUUUUUCUAGAAAAAGUCUGAUCCUUUUUUACCAUAAAUUUAUGUUGAAUUACUCAAUUAUGUUCUAAAAAAUAUGACUUAGUCCCCUUAUAAUAACAAAUUAUAAAGUUUUUUUUUUUACAUUCUGAAAUGUAUUGAAUAGUAUUUUUAUUUUAUUUUUUAAAAUAAUAAAAAAACACAAAAAAAAAUUAAUAAAAUAAAAUAAAAUUUCAUAAAAUAUCAUUUGAAACACAGUCUCAAAUCACGUCUUAUAAUAAAAUUAAAUCCACUGGCCAUUUCCUUAGAAUCUAUUUAGCUUUUCUCCCUUUUCCUUUUCUAACCUUUCUCCCCUUCGCACGCCAUACAUGUUUUUCCUUUAAUCAAUUGCCUCCAGACUUUAUCACUGCAAUCUUUUUUCGCCUGGCAAACCUGGCUUCUUUAACUGAAUCUUAAUUUAUGUUUUGAUUUUGGACAUAAAUAGUUUAUUGCCUUUAAUUAAUCAAAUUAAAAAAAGUGUCGGUGGAGGAAGAUAGGCAAGCAAGCCGUAAAUUUGAACACACGCGUCCAUGAUUCAUGCAUGCACUUCUACAGCAAUUGGGACUUGUAAACCCGGCAAACUCCUAGUUAAUAAAGCCUAUUGAAUCGGUGCGAGUGAACCAUUAAUAUUAGUAAUGAAAUAGCUUAUACUAGCUUUGAUACCCGCGCGAUGCCGCGAGUUCUUUUAAACGUGAUAAAAAAAAGAAUCACUAUUUGAUAUAUUUACUAAAGCUGGCUAUCGUCUUAAUUUAAAUUUUUUUUAAAUGAUUGUUUAUGUAGCUUGGAUUUAAAAUUAAACCAUGUUGAUACUUAUUUUAAUAUGAUCAAAUCAACUUGGCUAGUUCAAAUACAUCAUGAUAAAUCAGUAAAAAAAAUACAAGGAUGAAAUUGAUAUGAAAAACAUUUUAGUCCAACUACUUACUUAGUUUAUAUUUAAAAUUAAACCGUGUGAGUUUUAUUUUGUCAUUACUCAAUGAACUUAAUUAGUCUAAAGAUAAUAUGACUAGCCAGUAAAAAAGGUUUAAAGAUAUAAUUUUUUUUUUUAAAAAAUAUAAAGUUAAUAGGAAAAAAAACUCUUGACCUAGCUUAGGUUUAAAAUUAAAUCUUGUAAAAAUUAUUUCAAUUUAAUUUAGUCAACUUGAUCAUUUUAAAAAUAACUCACACUAUUAUUAAAAAAUAUUUAGAAAUAAUUUUUUUUUAAAUGAAUAAAAAAAAUAAAGGACUAAAAAAAAGGGAGGGGUGGGGGAAUUGGAAAACAAAAGGUGCAAGGAUGAAGAGCUUUAAUAUUUGUCUCGAUGUUAAUUCUCAAGCCCCUUUGUAUAGAAGUAGUAAUAAUUGCUAGCCUAGAGUCUAUUUUAAUUACUAUUAAUUAAUUGUGCAUUCUAUUUUAGCUUUAACGCUUCUCGGUACAGAGAAAAGAGACAGCCUCGUAAGUUUUCAAAUGUCGGGAGCCAUUGGGUUACGUGGUAAGGUUGAUUUUCUCGACGACGGUGAUGUGCCGCAAUCUAUCGGUAGAGUGGUUACCUCUAACUUCAGAAGUUUAGCAUAGUUAUAAUAAUAUUAUGACAUGACAUCAACGAGGUAAUGUUUGUUCUUUUAGAAUGUUUUUUUAUUUAAAAAUAUUUUAAAAAAAUUAAAUUUUCAUGAAAUACUACUUCAAAUGCAAAUUUAUUUCUUCUAUGUAAAUAGUUUACAUAGUCGGAGUGUUUUUUUUUUUAUUAUCCAAACUUUUAUAAAAUAUUCAUAUUAAAGGUCUGAAAAAUAAUUUUUUAAAUAUGCAUCAUUCUGAUUUUACACGACCUACUUAAGAAUACAAGAAACUUCAUGUUGAAAGGGGGGAGAAAAACCAUUAAAUUGUCCAUUUAUUUCCUCCCUUCAAGCAUUUUCCAUGAAUAACCAUGAAAUUUCUCGCCUCGGGUGGUGGCACUUGGAAGAGGUCAAUUACGGAUUAUUUGAAGUGCUGCUACAUGGGCCCGAGGAACUAUUAACAAAGACUCUCAUUAAUAGUUGUUGAAUUCAAGGGAGAAAUUAUAUUUUAAAUGUUUUUUAUUUAAAAAUAUAUUAAAAUAAUAUUCUUUUAUAUUUUUUAUAUUAUUAUAUUAAAACAAUAAAAAAACACUAAAAAAUAUUAAAUUAGUUUUUAAAAAAUAAAUAAAAAAUACAGUCUGACCGACAGUACCUAAGAUUCCAGUUGAAUGUGUUUACACUGUUCGCUUGUAGGUUUGGAACUGUGGAUGGUUCGAAGAAAAGAAUGACUCUGACAUGACAUGUAUCUUUAAAAAUAAAAAAAUAAAUAAAAUAAAUAAAAAAUCAGGCAUGGGUCGGUGGGUAUUAAAAGAGGGUCGCUACAGUAACAAUAGUGGCAAAAAGCUGUACGGGCAUACAUGGUUGGAUUUGAGUUUGAUGAUAUUUAUUUUUCUGCAUCAUUCAAGAAUGUCUCUGCGCUGUUGUUUUAUGUUUACUGAAAUUUCAUCGCUGCUAAAAAAGUGCCCUUUUUUUUCUAAAUAAACGAGGGCUUAAUUUAGAGUGCCAGCAUUAGUAAAUAUAGCAUCAGUUAUUUAGCGACACUGACAUUGUAGCAACCAGUAAGGGAGGUCGAAGUUACCUGUCUGCCAAAAAAACAAAAACAAAAACCACCCUCAGUGUUUAGGGCCUCCACGGUAGAAUUGCUAAAAAACCCAAGAACGAUUUUUUAAAAAAUUUAUCACAAUAAAUUAAAAGUUUUGAUGGAAUAUAUUUAAUUUAAUUUUUUUUUAUAAAAUAACAUAUUUUUAAGUUUGACAAGAUAAUUGUCUUGAUUUAGAAUAACAAUAUUUAAACAUGUCAUAUUUUUUAAGCAUGACAACUACUAACCAGUAAAUCGAUUAGAUACAGUUAUAUAAUUGGUUAACUGUUUCACGCAAAAACCAUGAAUCAACAAAUUUUUUCUUUUAAAUAUGUUUUAUGAGUAAAAAUAUAUAUUUUUAUCCAACUUAUAGACUAUAAGACAUACUCUAAUUGAAAUAUUAAAAAGUUAUUAUUUAUAUAGUAUUUCUCGCAGGUGAUUCUGAGCAAUCAAGUAUGGUCUUGCUAUAAUUUGAUGAGGAUUUGCCCCAAAUAAGUUAUGUAAAAAACUUAACAUGUGCAUUUAUAAAACAAUAGAACAUGUCUAGGCUCAAGAGGAGGUCUGGUCGCGUUAUAUCAAAAUAAUGGUUUAAAAGAACCAUGAUUUUUUAUCAAACUAUUGAAUCGCGCUCAAAUUUUCACAAGAGUUUCAAGAGAUCGCUUUCCUUUUAAAUAGCAUGUAAUUUCUAUUUCGACCAUUGAAUUUUUAGAUUUAAAAAAUCUCGUUUCGAGACCUUGAUUUCGGCAGUUUCUUUACAAACCGGUCAAUCGAUUAGUCCUGAAUUUAAAUAGAUACAGUGAUGGUAGACGGUGACAUCAAUUAUAAUUUUGCUAUGGCUUCUAAUAACGAUAUUCAAUUGAUAUUCUAAUAAUAAUAUUCAAUUGAUAUUGUGGUUUACUACUAUAAUAUUUAAUAAAAUAUCACAAUUUCCAGUGAUAACAUCUAAAAAUGUUAUUUUACCAAAAAAUUUUGCUUAAAUAUAAUUUCUCUAUUUAUUUGCACUUUUCAUGCUAAUUGUACAAUAUAUAUAUAUAUAUAUAUAUAUAUAUAUAUAUAUAUAUAUAUAUAUAUAUAUAUAUAUAUAUAAACAAACAAUAUGAAAGGUUCAUAAUUCUGUAGCCUCGAAGAACCACAUGCAGCUAGAGAUCGACCCAUGAUAGGAUCAUGUCAACUACUAGCCUAUUGCUCCUAGUCUACAAGACAUUUGACUUUUAGUACCUCGUCUCACCAACAGCAACUAGGCCUUGCACUGCUGCACGUGCAAGCCAUCGUAUAGCUUAAAAACAAGAUUGCGGACCCUGUUUCGAACGAUUUCCUUUGACUACUCAGAACUCAACUGAGCUUUUAACGAGUCAAUAAAUCUAUGCAGACAUAAACAUGGGCACGAGCCACGAGCACAAAGCAGAAUGCAUAGGCACGAGCGAAUAUUCAAGUACGUAUCUGAUAACAAGAUACAAAUAAUUGGAUGUUUUUAGUUUGUGUUUGGUAAUGAUAUGUAAAAUGAUUUUGAAAAGUAUUUUUUGAUAUCUUUUUAUAUAUAUAUAUUUUUUAUUUUUAACACUAACUUAUUAAAACCAUAAAAAAAACCUUAAAUACAUUAAGUUAAUAUUUUUUCAAGUAAAAACCAAUUUAAAAACACAUUCAAAACAGAAAUUACUACAACAUCAAAUCAACAUUUAGAUGAUUUUAAAAUUUUUAUAUCAAAACCAUUCAAAAACAUAAAAACUAAAUAAUUUCAGCCCAAACACACAUGAUCAUAACAGCCUUAUUGAUGUUUCGUCAAGGAAACAGUCAUGCAUACAUCACAAGCUAACAUUUGAAGAGUUUCAUUGCUGCUUUAGUUGGCCAGAGGACAUCAAUGAAAAUUGCAACCCCUUACUGAACUUUUCACAAGAAAACAAAAAUAUUAUUACACUUUCCUUUGAAAUUUAAGCAUUACUGGAUACAACAGUCGUUACACUAAAUUCUGGAAUUAGAACUCUUUGGUCGUUAGUUGCCUAUGACAAACCCUGUGACGACUCGGGAAUGAACCUCUUCGGCUACCUCUGGAUUCAAUCUAAUCAGUUAUCCUUCCAUACUCAACGACCAAACCAGGUCCUGCAACGAGAGCGUAUCAGUUAGACAGACAGCAGUAGCCAAGGGAAUGUCUCAACCUGAAAGGGAAGGAUAAAAAAUGAGUGGAUGGACGAGGAGAUCAGUUUUGCUUCCUGGCCAGAAUAGAGUUUCUUCUUGAAGAAAUCUCAGCUGCCCAGCUCUUUCCUAUCGCAGUUCGAAAUUUUCCUACAGAUAAAAGGGAUGUAUGAAUAUCAUGAACAAAAAUUUUGACACGGUAAAAUUAUAUAAUCAGAAAGCUCCGAUCGUAUGUAGUUUGAGAUGAACAAGUAGUAGAUUCUACCUGCUGCUGAAAAGAAAAACUCAUCCAACACCUUCCCUUGUUCUGUGAAAACAUGACAUCGAAUGAGAAUUCCUUGGAAGCGGAACAUUUAAUUUCAUCAGAUAACCUACCCAUUUCAUAUUCCAGUGCUCGCAAAAUCAUCUCAACCUAAACAUGAGACUCGGAACUUUAGAUUGCUAACAAAGAAUUGAACAUGGGAAGGGAUAUACAAAUAUAAAUGCAAAUCAAGUGCUAUAAGAAAAUGUGGUUUAUGGAUUUGCUUCAGGAGAGCGUAAAACUUCAUUGGUUUAACACAUUGAAGUUGAUUCCAGUAGAAGCUUUUUAUAGCAUUAACACUGGGAAGUUUUCCGAGUGAACAUCUAGCGAGAGAAAGGGAGUCACCAAACAUUUCAACAGCAACCGGUGAACAUAUUAAACACAAAUUGAGGAGGAUCACAAUGUCAGUGGAUGGAAGAAGUCCCUGGGCAGUAACCAAACUACUUUAACGUUUUUAUUUUAUUUUUAAUAAUUCCCUUAAUCCUUAACACAUAACGGCCAUCAGAAACAGCUUCCUGCAGCUUUUCCAAAAGACUGGUCAUCAAUAAUUCAAAAGUAGAUGGGGAUAUAUGACACACCUGGCAAACACAAUUGAUUUGAAUACUGUCCUGUGUUUCAAUGACUUUCACCGCACAUUGCAAUAGCAAGAAAAUCAAUUGAAGAAGCAUUUGGAACCAUAGACCUGUUCCUUUAUAGCAUCAUUCAAAAAUUCAAACUUUGUCAAAGUCUUCGACAAGGUUGGCCUCCAAGGAAGCAUUGUUUUCAUACUCUGCCCAUAACUCUUUGAUCUCUUCAGCUGAAAAAAUGAAAAUAUUUAGUUCCAGAAAACUCAAAGCUGAAACUGCUAAAAGUCAAGAUAGCAAGAGUCAGUAUUUGAGUAACCCUCAGUCCACCAAGAACUCAACACAUUUCAUUUAAAGCCGCUUGCUCCAGCCUACUCUUUUCUUGUUUAGGCACACCAUUUGAUAUUGUUAUAUCUCCAACAAUAGCUAUCAAAGUCCAAAUCCCAACUCAAAAUUCAAAACUCCAACAAAAUAUAUGUGCAUAUUUUGCAAAAGUAAAACACAAUAAGCUCAAUUAGAUAUAUAAAAAGAGAACUAUUACAAACAUGGAAUAGAAUCCCCAAUCAAUGCUGUUGUUGUUGUAGGGCUCUUCUCCCAUUCUACAAUCAUCAACAAUACACGAUUCUGAUUUCUGACUGCAAAACAAAUAUUUGCAGACACACAUUGUUCUCUUACUCAUUAGGUGUAAGCUUGGGUAUGCUCUGUGGACUAUUAUGGCUUUGGAGCAUCAACUUGUACGUUUUACUUUUAUGGCCUGACAAGAGUCAAAUAGUGACAAAUUAACAGUGUCAAAUGUGCUCAUGAAACACAUUGAUAUCUGCUCUCCUAAUUUUUAGCCAAAAUUCAGUUUUAAGUGAGAGAUCUAUUCUCCAAUAAUUUAGUCCAUUUUUUUCCUGAGGUGGUGAUCUAUUCAUGACAUGCCAAGGCUGAAGCAGUACAAGUAAAACAUCGAGCCAUUUAUGCAGCAAGGAGCUAUUUUCAAAAAAAAAAAAAAAAACAUUAUGGAUUCAAGAUAUGAUUUUGCUUACGCAAAAUACCAUAACCCCGCGCCCCCACAUAGGCCCAUACCACCACCAAAUCCAUGCCCUAUACAUUCUCAAAGAAUCAUGUAAAUUUCCAUUAGAGCAUAAAUGAACCUGUAUCAAUGGAAAUAACAUAUCAUUUAUCAACCAUAUUGAUCAAUUAAAAGAAUCCAACAUAAUACCAUCUUUUUCUACCAGUCUACUCUGUCCAAAAUACGAGGCAACCAAGUGUCGCUCAAAGCUAAUUUAAGUGGUAAAUUUGCAACAAUGGCUUGUUUUAAGAAUGAAAACUACAGGAAUACAUUAGGUGACUUUUUUAAGGACCUGUAAAUUAUAUGGGUGCUAGAUACAGUAUCAACAAGUAGAGUUAAUCAGAUAUCCAACACCAUCCUGCCUCUAUUCUCCUCAAAAGACAAAAAAAAUGAUUUAGUCUAAUAGCAAAUUGAAUCUCUGGUUUCUCUCUUCUGAUUGAUAACCCAAGACUUUCCUGUUUGAUUAAAGCCCAAUAAUCUUCCCUUGUAUCUUAGCAUGGCAUCAAACCAUUUGUUUCCAAUUAAUCAUAACAUUUAUGUAGUUAAAUCAUUUAUAAAUUGGUCUAUUCUGCCCCAUGAUUCAAGAGUGUAAAUACACACAUUGACUUUCUUGAAAGUGCACACAAAGAAAGAAAAACACAAGUCUUCUCAUGAUAUAAACUGUUUAACCUUUCUGAGUUCAGCUUUUCACAGCGAACUAAAACAAUCAUCAGCAAUCAGAGCCAUCAAUGACACACUGUACAUAUGGUCAGCAAUUGAUUCAGGACCCUUUAUCCAAUGGUUGAUCCAUCCCUUCAGUUUUGUGAUCUGAGAGAGAGAGAGAUUAGACAUUUCUAAAAUGUAAUCUAGACCUUUACCUACAUCAGAUCAGGCUCACAUAGAGUAAAAAGGCAAGAAGAAAAAAAAAUCAAAUGAGAACCAAAUAUUUUGCUCAUGAUCAAAGCAAAGAGAAGUGCAACAAAAAAAACAUUAAGAAGCAUAUGUAUACAAGGCAUAAAUACACAAGCACGUACGCACCCAUGGUAUUUGAAAAACAAAGGAAAGGAAUACUGGCUCCAACCUCUUUCAGAGUUGCUUACAGGUGAAACAAGCAGAACUUCAAGGGGCUUUUGUACCAUAAUAAGCCACUUGAAAUCUUGAAUAUAUGUUUAUCUCAUGUAGCGGAGACACUAAUUCUAAAACACAUUACAUUGUCAAGGCUGAGAAUUUAUGAUGGAGAUUUCAAUUACAGGUACAGGGGCCACUCGAUUUCCAUCAUGCAAGGUUUCACUAUAAUUCUUAAAGCACAACAACAGUAGUCUGGUAAUCUCUGCAGACCAAGCUAGAGCAUAAUUUGCAUAAACUCAUCGGUGAGAACACUUAGUACAGCACAUGCACAUGGAUUUAUGGUAAAAUGGGAUGCCCUUAAAUGCCAGUUUUGAAGUCCUACUUAAUGUAACAAACACAAUAAUAUCCAAUCUUUGCACUGACCUUCAUACACAAUCCAAUCCAGUCCUGACAAACUAAUCAACUAGAAGGCAACUCAAUAAUUACUCUCCUUUACUCCAACAAUAUCAACAAAUUUGCUUAAGCUUAUAGUCCUUACAAUUUGGAAAGCCAAAUCGCUGCUAACUUUUAGGGAAUAAAAAAGUGAAUAGAACAAGAAUUGGAUGAUCUUGUUCUUGCAUUGAUUUCUAACCUAAAAUCAUGAUUUCUUAAUCAAUCACAGACACAAAUUAUCUGCUCUAAACUGGAAAAAGAAACCCCAUUUCAUAGUUAACAAGAAAAAGGUGAAAGCUUUUCCAUUUCCCAAUCUAUAUUCUAAGAAAAGAAAAGCAAUCCUUUUCCCACUCUCAUUCAUACCUUCAAUCGAUGGCACAAUGUAGGGAAAUCAAUAGCCGAUGGAGCUGAUGAGUUACCCGUCAUAGAUUCGGACUCCUCAACGGAUCUCAUGGAUCCUCACCCUUCCGAAUUAAGCUUUUCUCAGCGAACUAAAACGAUUCUUGGGUUCGGAGCUUCGUAUAAGAAAAUGGGCUGCCUCCGUUUAAAGAAAGCAAGGGAGGAGCGAGUAGGUGAGGUGAACUCAGUGGAGGAGUACAGUGAGCCCGUGUAUUAACAACCAUUAUUUUUUUUAUGUUCGGUUUUGUUCGGUUUCCGUUGUGUUCUACUUGGUCUCAGACACCGGAAAAAGAAUGUCCUCUCUUUAACUCGCUGUCACUCCUGCAGACGCCCACUGUAAUAGGGAAUCUUUCAUACCUUUUUUUUUUUUUAUCUCCCUCUUCUUUCUUUUUAAUUUAAAUUCUUAAAAAAAGACAGAAAGAAAUUGUUUCAUAUCGAUUUUCUAUUGACGAGCAACAAAAUACAUUGAUCAGCUGCGUAUAUAUAUAGGUAUAAUCUGUAUCGACAUUGUAGUGUCGCGUAACUGUGAAAUUAAUUAUUAUCGAUUUAAAAAUUGGCAAUUAUGUGGACUGAGAGCAUCAUUUUUAUGAUUAAGUUUAAUUUUUAUGCAAAAGAAUUAUAAAAGAGUUUAUAGAAAAAUAUGGUUUGUCGGGAUUGUCAAUCUGGCAAAGAUACAAAUACAAUGAAUGCGGAGACGCGCCAAUCCAGUGAACCAAUCCCGCUCAUUCAUCGACUUGUCUUUUAAGUUACAAUCGAGUCCCCAAGCGUUGAAGAGAUUCACAAGUGGAUCCUUAUUAGUUUCCCUCGCCAGUUCUAUCGUCAACUAAGGCUCCGUUUGUUUGCAGGAAAGUUGUUUCCUUUUAGAAAGUGAAUUCCGGGAAAAUAUUUUCUGAUAUUUGGUAGUGUUAUGGAAAAUGAACUGGAAAACACUUUCCAGUGUUUGGUUAUGUUAUGGAAAAUGAACCGGAAAAUAAUUUAUUAAUGAAUUAAUUUUUUUUUCAAGUUUAUCUAAUAUAUAUUAAAUAUUUAAUAUAAAUAUUUAAUUACUUACAAUAAAAGAAUGAAAUCUAAAAAGUAUAAUGAUAAAUUUUUUUUAUUAUAUCUUAUAUUCAUACAUAGCUUAUUUUAUAAAAUAUAACUAUAUAUGUCAUAUCAUAUUAUAGAGAAAUAAGCUUGUGAAAUAUUUUUUAAGUUAAAUAUUUUUUUUUUUAAUUUUAAAAGCUUAAAAUAAGUUUUUUUUUUCAUAUGAAGAAAGCCAAAUUAGUUUAUGGUAAGAGUUAUAUAUUACAUUAGAUUAACAACUAUUUUAAUUUUAAUUUUUGGUCACUGGGAACCAAUUAAAUUUAAUUUAGAAACAAAAAGAUUACAAUAAAAUGAUUUAUAAAAUCCUUAUGUUUGGAUGCUGGGCCACCCACCCCCCUAAAAAAACAAAGAAAUCAUCAAAAGUCAUAAAACGUUCACAUGUUUUGUGAACAAAGGAAAGGAAAGUGUUUUCCUUAAAAUAAGGAAAGGAAAACACUUUCCUGGCUUAAAGUGUAUUAUCUUCCUUUGACCGGAAUUUGGAUUCCUUUGACUAGUUUUCCUUAUAGUUGUCAAACAUGGGAAAGUGGAGAAAAUAGUUUCCAGGAAAAUGAAUUCCUGGAAACAAACAAGGCAUUAAUUACAUGCAACCGUCCACUACUUUUGAAUUAAAAAAUCUCCAUAACAAAUCCCGAGGGAUGAGAUUUAUUGGUCAGGUUCUAGAUUUGUUCUCUAAAUAUUAUCAGUUCGAAUCUCACAAAUUUCAGGAUCACUAAAGACUUACAUUAUUAUUAACUUCAGGGCCUAUAAAAUUAAUCAAGAUACAUAUAAAAUAGCCCGAAUACCAAUGUUAAUAAUAAAAAAAAACAUCUCAGUUCCUUUUCUACAAGACCCUCCUAAAGCCUUUAUAAAUUUUCUCUCCUCAGAUAAUCAGUCAGUGUAUGCGAAAGAUAAAAGAAUAUCUUUCGCAGAUAACGACAACUAGACAUCUUGAUGUACCUAACGAGAUACAAGCUAUAAAAGAAUAGAUUAGAUUGGUAGAAAAGCAAGCAUCUCAUCAAUGAUUCAUCCUUUUUUACCAUAACAGUUGGACCCAUCUAAUCAUCCAUAAAAUAAACAAAUUAUAACGGAAAAUAGAUUUGUUAUAGAGCUAAUGCUGCGUAAACUUUUUUGAAUAACAAAUUAUACUGGGAGGUUUAAUUUAUAUGGAACCCUUGACAUUUCUAUUACUUUUGCAAUUGUUUUUGACAGUUAGAAUAAAAUUGCUAUAAAUAAAAGCUACAGAAUAUCAUUGCAACAAUUUGCUUUUUAGAAACUAAAAUAAAAUUGCUGCAACAAGUUACUUGGAUGAUGAGGACAGGUUAAUGGCAUCAAAAUACUGUACGUUCCUAGCAUCCAAGUUUUUAAAGUUACAAAAGGAAAAACUACUUUUCCGACAUAAAACUUGUUUUUUUUUUUUAAUGUAAAUCAGAUAAACCUCAAAUAAGCAUCUAACUACUACUUGACGUGAUCAGACCAUCAGCCCUGGUUUGUCAUGUUUAGCUUAAGUAGCUGAAAAGCAGUGAUUUGGAGGUGCUUUUGCAAUUAGUUUGCAAACGGGCCCGUAAAGAUUUGGUGACUUGUCUUCAUGAAGAAGGUGUAUUAGAAGUCGGAAUGGCAGAAGUGAUCGUGUUGCUAGGCUUGAGCAGUACAGUAUAGUAACAUGUUCAUCUUAAAAUUCUUCGACGCCGUCGAAAGAGCUUCACACCAUACACUAGCAAGUAAUUAACAUGUUCAGUUCAAAAUAAGGAAAACGGCUCUGUUUUACUUUGAGAUUUUUUGAUCAAAACGUUCUAUAUGCAGGAGAGCUUGGUCUCAAACUUUCACGAGGCCUAAUGACGUCGAAUUCUCUAUCCAUCUUUCAGAUUUUGUUCAAUAGCAGAAAAGGGAGGAAAAAAAAAGCAAAAGAGAGAGAAAGGAAACUAAUUGCACAGAAGGUUCAAAACGAUUUGUUCAACAUUAGUUCUACCUGUUUGGUACUAUAUUAGUUAUGUCUACUGGGGCAAUAUUGAAUUAGAAUUUUGUUUGCGUGGCUUCUUUUAUUAUUCGGCACAUAGUUUGUUUUGCAAUUUCUGUUCUGCUGUCUUUUUUUUUCUUUUAAUUGUUCUUCCGUUAUUGUUAAUUUAAGAUAAAAACAAGGGAUUUUCUUGGAAACAAAGGCAAGGUCAAUAAUUAUUAAGUCAAUUAAUAUAGACUUGCCGAAUCUCCUUUGCUAGAACCAGAGGCUAAAGCAGAGAAAAAGAAGUAGCAGAUCAACAAUAUCGGCUACGGACAACAGGGCAUUAAAUUAAUGAACAAAAUUUGGAGUGCACUGUGCAAGACGAGAAUCCUAAAAAUAGCUGCAUAACAGCGAAACCCCAUCUUGAUAAAAGACUUGGCCUUUCCAUGGCAUGAAGCACCUACAGAACUAGAAAGAGAUCUCCUUUUCUUCAACAGCACACCAUUUUGAGUAUGUCGGCACUCUCCGCCUCUCAUCUGAACAUAUCCGUAGCCAUAUUCCACAGACAGUAGCGGCAGUAUGCCCAGAAGCACAAAAUAUAUAGCAGAAGACAUCAUGUAUAGUACAGCGCUUGAAACUUCUAACUGGCGAAAGUUUUGGAGAAUACAGAGAGAUCACUGAAGAACUAGACAUGUAGAAACCUCACCAUGAACAGUGAAAGAAGAUUUGUGGCUUGUGAUUAUUAGCAGGAAAUCACAAAAGUAAACGAUCAUGGCCAACUUGACAGAAGCAAUAAAUCUUGAAACGUAGUAAAGAAAAAUGAAGCAAAUAAAUCUUGAAACGUAGUAAAGAAAAAUGAAGCAGUGUAGACAGCAAAUGAAGUGAACCCAAAGGCCAAACCCAUGCAGAAACAUCAACACUAGAGUAGGGCAACGCAGAAACAUCAAAACCAGCAGUAUGUCAGCUAUAGAUUGACCAGGUUUGAAGUUUCUCAUCACCCAAAAGAUGAUUUGGAGCAUAAUGCAAUAGCAAUAGCAGUUUAGAUUGCAGAAAAGUCCGAACAGAACAGUGUAAUUGCCGAAAAAAUUGCUUUUUUUUUUGUCAGCCUGAUUGGAAGUGCAAAGAACAUGUAAACCAAAAGCAGAUAAAAACAGCCAUAUGAUCUACCAGAGAUAAACUGGGGAACCAGUGCAGCAAAAUGAUGGAGAAUCUGAGAGUAGCAGCGUUAGUCAUAGGCAACACACUGUCAUGAAUAUUAAGCUUCUUGUCCCCUUUGCCCACAAAUAUUUAGAUCACAGAACAAUAAUGAUCGUCCAAUCCAAAUAUGGUUAUUCUCAAGAGACUUCAAGAUAAGCCCGUCUUCAGAUUUUGCAGGAAGCAUGCGCGUGUUUUUCUCGGAACACUUUCUCAAUUUUUUAAUUAUAAUUUUUUGUUAUAGAUCUUUUAUAUAAUUGACCUUUUUCCGGUGUUAUUUUUUUGGGUAAUUUAUUAUUUAUAUAUUUUUAAAAUUUACGAGCUUGUAAUUUUCUUUGGGUAAAACAUUUGGGUUGUCAAAUGACUUGAAUUACUCGAUUGGGUAAAACAUUUGGGUUGUCAAAUGACUUGAAUUACUCGAUUGGGUAAAACAUUUGGGUUGUCAAAUGACUUGAAUUACUCGAUUGGAUAAAACAAACUGGGUAAAAAAAUUUCAUAUAAUCACUUCAAAUUGCGAAUUUAAUUUUAUCUAAAUUAUUCGAAUGCUCAUUCUCAAAUAACGGUCUAGCAAUAUUAAAGAGAAAAAAAUAAAUUAAGCUCAGAUGCACUGGAAUCUUUUCUGCUGGGAAAAAUCAUAGGUUAGUUAAUUGUAUGGUUGUUGAGGAGUUGCGUAAUCGCCUGACAUCGAGUCUUGUACAUGUGCGUGAUGCAUGGAAAAUUCUCCAGAUGCAUGGAAAAUUCUCCAGGAGCUUCAUCUGUAGUUUUUAAUAUACACGCAUUGUGAAGGUUCGACCUUCUGUGGGUCAGAAGUAAUUAUUCUUUUAUUUAAAGAAGACCUUUUUGGAUAUGCGUGGAUGCUUUCGCAUCACCAAGAUUAGUAUAAAUUUGAAUUUUCAAUAAUACUUGUUUUACAUGCCAGAGAAUGCUGAAAUAUUAUUUCUCUUAUAAAAAUGUUAUUUCUUAAAAAUAUUAAAACUUCAGUAACAUUAUUCAUUGCAUUAUUUUUUUCACUAGUUUUUUUUCAAAUCUAUAUUUUUUCGAUUUACUUUCUACGAAAUUAUCCUAAUUUCAUAACCCGUGAAAUGAAUUUGACGAGUUCAUCCGGAUAAUAUUUUUGUUUUUUCAAUUCAAUCCUUUAAUAUUAUAUUAGUUUAGAAUCGUUAAUGUUAGUUUUAGAUUUUCUUCAAGUCGACUAGGUCAUAUCAUAUUGUUAAAAUAGUCGUGUAUCAAAUAUAUUAAAAGCUCUUCUAAAUAACUUUUAUAAUUAGAGUGCACAUGAACUAUAUUUAAAAAAUAAUAAAAAAUAAUAUUAUCAAUUUAACUAUUCUAAAUAACUUCUAGCGUUCGAGAUGCUCCUGAUAGCUAUUGCCCCUGAAGAUGCCCAGAACCUAGUGAGCUACAAAGAUUAGGCAGUGAAAGAAUCAAACGUGAAGCUUCGAGCAGCUCCUAAGUCAUAUCUAAAAUCAAGUCAUGGUACAGAUAAAACUUGAUAUCAAAAGUCAAAUAAUCAGAAUCACCUUCUGAUUAAUUGAAUAUGAAUUUAUUGUAUUUGGAUAGUGUAAAAAAUCUAACAAAUAUAUAUUCAACAAACUUGAAAAGUAUUAGGUUAUCAAAUUACUUUUAACUCAGUCAUCAAAUUUUACUAGAAAAUUCAACAAACUUGACUCUCUGAUCAGUUUAUAUAAGAAGUAAUUAACACAACUCUUUUAAUUAUUAGGUUCAAGAUUUUAAUACGCUGUCGUUGUUCCCAGGAGCACAGCCAGUGGAGGUGUGAUCCUAUAUAAAUAUUUUUUAAUUGCAACUGUGAUGCUCUUGCAAAUUUGUUUUUAACAUGUGCUAUUUUGUAUAAAAAACAAAAGAACACUCAAAUAAUUGAGAUUUCUUCCUAUUCCCGAGAUACCACGCCCGUUAGUAGCUGAACCUGUCAACUUCCACUGACUUGCUAUAAGAAUCUGAAGGGAUCUACGUGUAAUAAAUAUGUCCAUGUUCGUUUGUCUCCAAGUUUCACCGAUAAGGUUUUUGAUGCAGAGAUUGUUGGGAUGAUUUGCCGACCGAUCGUUGAUCACUGGACCCGCCCAUGAGGAAAACAAGGUCUUCCAUGUGGUAUAUCAUUUCUUUUUUAGUUUAACGUGGGUGUCCGGGCCAGCUUGCGCGCAACUCAACUAAUCCCACGGGCCCUGAAGUUAAUGACCAUGUAAGCCUCCAGUGAUCAUCAUAUGAGCAACCACAUGGCUCGAACCUGAGACCACAGAGAAAACAAACCUCUUGGUCCCAAGCUUUUACCACUGGACCACCACCUAGAUAGUUGUGGUAUAUCAUUUAUUGUGGACUAAAUGUGUGGUUGUUCUAGCAACAAAAAUGGUUUGGUGGGUGCCCAUCUCCAAAGGUACAUCACACAGGUCUGCCUCUUUUUAUUAUAUCACGCCCGUAGGGAGUUAAUAUUUUUUUUAAAAUGUCAAAAAAAAUAUUAAAAGUACUUCUUGAAUUUGACAGUCAUACUAGAUUCAAGCGACAUUAAUCUGACAGCAAUGCUAGAUCCAAGAACCUAUAAGAAAUAAAAAAAAUAUUUAAAUUAUUAUUAAAAUAUCCUAAAAAUAAAUUUUAAUUAAUUUUUUUAUAUUUUUUAUAGGUUUUUGGGUCUGGCGGCCAUGUUAGACCCCUUGCCUUAGGUUUGGCGUCCAUAUCAGACCCAACAAACUUGGAUCCAUUGGUCAUGCUAGACCCAGGCAAACAACAAAUAAACAGAGGACAAAUGUGCACUUUAAUUCUCAGGAGAGAUAAAAGAAAGAAAAAUCACAAAUAAUCGAUCACUAACGACAAUUCAAUCAUGAUAUGUCUACAUGCGCCGCACCAUGUGGAAGAGGACACGUCUGCGCAUCUAUCUAGACAGCAAAUGAUCAGAUUUGGCCAUCAAAAGGCGUAUCACACACCUCCUUCAUGGUGUGGAGCGAGCGUCACUCACUCGAUAGGACGUGUGGAACAUGCACCAGCAGCUUUUUGAAUAAACAAUAGAAAAGAUGACAUGACAAUAUUAAAACGCCUCCCAUGAUUCUCUUAAACAUCACUUAACUAAAUUUCACUAUCACAAUCCAUAAUAAUCUGUAACCAGAGCUACAGUGAAAACCCCAUACAAUUUAGUUUUCUUUAUAUAUAUUAUUUCCCCCACGUAUGGUGCCCUUUUUUUUUUUAUCAUAGAUAUAUAAUACCUUGCAUGUCGUAAUUAAUAAAUGAUUAGGCAGUUAGCAAUAAUGUAGCAUGCCCAAAUCUGCCGGUAUCUCAGAAAUCUAUAUAGAUAAGAAUCCUCUCUAGUAUGAGUUGUGAUAUGUUUGCUUAAUGCAAUUGCAAUUAGGUUUAGAUUUUAUAAAAAGAAAACUAAAAAAAAAACUAAAUCUAAGUGCCUAUUAUCUGAUGCGACAUGCAUCUACUCAAGUUGAAGCAUACAAACAUGUUGAUUUAUCUUGCUUGUUGCUGCAUGAUUUUCACCUUUCCUGCAUUAAAAUUGAUAUUGACGAAUGCUUUUCACUUCUACUCUCCUAUAUUGUCUAUGAUUUCAAUCUUUCAAGUCAUGAACUUUCGUGUGAUUGUUGAUUUAUCUUGCCUGACACGGGUUGAACUUAUUCAACAAGAUGAGCUUGAAGCUCAGGGAUAUAAUUUGCUAAUGUUAGAUCAGCCACACGUCAAAGAAGAAAUAAGAAUGCAAUAAUGGCUUCCACAGAACCACGGUGGAGGCCUAAAGGAAAACCUCCGAACGUUUUUGGGAUGGGGUUGGAGCUUUGCGAUGUUUUCAUUCAUCGGGCUGGCUUAAUUAGCUUCCAAUGACAUCAGAAAGUCAAUAAACGCUCUAGUAGCUAGACAUAAAUUUCUUGAAAGGACCGGGACAUUCUAACGUCUAGGCUUGCGGGGCAACUUGUGCUGGAUGAUUAUCUAUAUGUUUUUGUACAAGUCUAUUUUCCUUUUUAGUUUUGUUUUUUAAGAAGAUUUUUGCUGCUGGUGUACUAUAAGCAUGUUUGGAAACAUGGUGUUAAUUAUAUUUUUAAAUAUUUUUUUAAAAAAAUUUGUUUAAAAUGAAUUUUUUUCUGUUUUCAAAUCGUUUUGACGUGCUGAUAUCAAAAAUAAUUUUAAAAAAAUAAAAAACCUUUAUUUUGAUAUAUUUCUAAUAAAAAAUAAUUUGAACCGUCACCGCUACUACAAUCUCAAACAGACCUUUCAUAUAGUAAUGAACCUUCCACCAACAAGGUUUGUUCACACAAUUUCCCUUCUACCUGUUAUUUUAAAACAUGUCCUAAAAGAUUGAUUUAUAAUUUGGAUGAAAAAAGGGGCCGGGUCUUAAAUAAAAAUAAAAGAGAAUUAAUCCAUUUAAAAAUUUAGAAUAAUUUAUAACUCUUCUUCGUCCAGUACUAGAAAACCUAGUCAAAAUUAAUUAAUUGAUUAAUUUUUUUAAAAUAAUAUCAUUUUUUAUUUUUUUAUAAAAUUUUAAAAAAAUUGACUAUGUUCAUCCCACGUAACCGGUGACUCAAUACUUUCCCUGAAUCAACCCCGGCUCAGAUUUGAAACUUAUGCUUCUACCCCUUGCUCCGUGCAGAAGAUCCGCCUUUAAGAGACAGGGAAGGGAGGAGCCUCCUUUGAUAUUUUCAUGGACAGUCAAGUCCGUACGGUUUUUAAAAGUAUUCGGCCUCGUCCGCGCGACUCACAUGAAUUUCUUCAUUUGUUAUUUAUUUAUUUGUGGCUCAGAACAAGUUUCCUGUGUCACCGCAAAUAAAUUUUUGAUAAGUCCUUUUUUAUUCUUUUCUCGAUAAACUCGAACUAAAUGUUUCGAAAAAAAAAAUCAGAGAAAACAGCAGAACCUCUAUUUUCUUUAUUCUUUCUAGCGCGCGAAACACGCCGUGAAAGCUCCCUGACCUGUGAUUAAGGAUGCAAGAUAUAGGGGACCACGGCUAGUUUCCCUGCUCAUUUACGAGGCUCCAAUAAUUUCUUUCGCCGAGAAAAAAAAAAGUCGGUCGUCGAAUUGAUGAGAGACAAGUUCUACCUGUGAUGCACAUUAAUUUCAUGAAAGUGAGUCUCUUACGAAUAAUUCAGGCUCACGAAUAAAAUACUUUUAAAAUACAAAAACAAACAAUCUCUCUUCUCUUCCUCUAUGUUUAUUUAUUUUUGGCGUCUUCCUGAACGUAGAGCAACUGUGCAACACAAAAUCUGAUUAUCUUUGCGAUUCCCACUCCUUGUAGAAGCAUGAAUUUAAAUUCCUAAACACUAAAAAAUCUAAAAUAAAAGUGUAUCACAACAACACUUGAAGCAUUAUUAUUUUACUCUCUUUUUUUUCGAUAAUAAGAUAUUUUUGAGCUUGUGUAUGAAUUGAAACUAUAUUUUUGAGAGAAGAAACACGUGAAACACGAAGAAACGCAAGCCAUUUAUUACUCCCAGGAAACAAUCGGAUUAUAAACAUGGCAUGUGUGAAACACGUUCAAACAAGAGCCCACCUGUGAGGAAAACUCAUGAGAAAACUAAUAAGAAAAAACAUUGUAGUAAUUGAAAAUAUUUUGUGAGGAAAACUACAGUGUUUUUCUCAAUAAACUAUAGUACUUUCCUCACAUAUUGUAACUGUAAUUCUUAACCAGCUCAAUAUUAAAAAAUAAAAUCAAAAAGAUAACUUUAGAGAAAAUUAUAAAAAAACAAAAAAAAAAAACUAUGUGGAGAAACGUUGUAGCAAUCAAAAAUAUUUUAAAGAAAAAAAUUACAAAACUAAAUUCUCAAUCAGCUCAAUAUUAAAAAAAUAAAAUCGACAAAUAUAAUUUUAAAAAAUAAUAAAAUAAAAUAGAAAAACCAUGUGGAAAAACACAGUAGUAAUUCACUGUAUUCUAAAAAAAAAAAUUACAAAGUGAAAUUUUUAACAAGCUAAAUAUUAAAAAAGUAAAUGUACAAAGAUAAUUUGGGGGAAAAAAAAAAAGAAAGUACUGUAGGAAAACAAAAGUAAUACACAGUGAGUGAAAAAAAAUGAAAAAAAAAUAAUAAUUUAACUGUUGAAGUCACAAUUCAAUUAAUUAAUCACAAUUCAAAUCUUUUCUAAAAUUACCUUCCUCAAAUCCACUUUAUUUGAAGUCACAAUUCAAUUAAUAAAUCAAAUACCAUUAAAAUCUUUCACUUUUACCGGAGUCUUGUCCACUUUCUUUGAAGUCACAAUUCCGACUAUUUUUCUUGUGUUGUGAGUGCAAAAUAAAAAUAAAAAGAGAAAGGUUUGUCUUUGUGGGUUCUUAUAGUCGGAAUUGUGACCAUGGAGCCGCAGGUCCAAUACAGAGGAAACAGAAACAGGGAAUCAAGAAACCAUGGAGCAUACAGAGGAAACAGAAACAGGGAAUCAAGAAACCAUGGAGCCGCAGGUCCAAUACAGAGGAAACAACAAAGCAGCAGAGAUCGUAGAUGGUUUUUCUCUUUAAAAUACUUGAAAUCAAUGGUUAACCAUAAGCAUGACAGACACACAUGCUUCUGCUACUACAAGAACCCACAAAUACAAACCUUUAUUUGAAGUCACAAUUCCGAAUAUUUUUCUUGUGCUGUUCAAAUAACAGAGGAAAUCUUUUCUGUUUGCAGAAGUCACAAAACAAAAAAGAUAAUUGUGACUUCUGUAAAAGUGAAAGAUUUCCUCUGCUGUUUUGUUGAUUCCUGUAAAAGUGAAAAAUAGUCGGAAUUGUGACUUCAAUAAAAUGGACAUGACUCCUGUAAAAGUGAAAGAUUUUAAUGGUAUUUGAUUAAUUAAUUGAAUUGUGGCUUCAAAUAAAGUGGACAACAAGACUCUUCACCUUAAUUAAAAAGAAGAGUAGAUUUAUUUUCACAAGGAUUGUAUUUACUUAAAUUUACAUAACUUGGACAUGCAUUAAUAAUGCAUUUACAAGUACAAAGAUUCAAAUUAAAAUUCCUUAAUUCCACAUAAAACUCUUUAAUACUCGGAACAUUGUAUGCAUAAGUUUUAUAGCGACAGUAAUGCCCAUAAAAAAAAAACCAAUAUAUUACAAAUAUAAGCAUAAAAUAAAAAAAUAAAUUUCUGAGCUAAAUCAAUAUCAUUUACAUUAGUUUUAUAUACAAAUAACAAUUGCAUCAAAUAACAUAUAAAAUAAGUUUUGAAAAAAACAUAAAACAAAUCAAAUUAUAACCUAGUAAAUAAAGCUAAAGGGUGUGGGGAAAUCAUUCUUCACCCACACCCAUUGCAUUGUGAAUUACAAUUUAUAAUAGUAAUCUCUAGUGCAUUAUUUCUUCUUCUUUUUUCACUUUUUUAUUUUUUCACUCACAGUGUAUUAUUUUUUUUUCCCUACAGUACUUUCUUCUUUUUUCUUUUUUCUUUUGUUUUUUCCCCCCAAAAUUAUCUUUGUAAAUUUACUUUUUUAAUAUUGUGCUGGUUAAAAUUUUUGCUUUGUAAUUUUUUUUCUUUAGAAUAUUGUGGAUUGCUACGGUGUUUUUCCACGUGGUUUUUCUAUUUUAUUUUUUUAUUUUUCAAAAUUAUAUUUGUUGAUUUUAUUUUUUUACUAUUGAGCUGAUUGAGAAUUUAGUUUUGUAAUUUUUUUUCUUUAAAACAUUAUUGAUUGUUAUAAUGUUUCUCCACAUAGUUUUUUUUAUAUAUAUAUAAUUUUCUCCAAAAUUAUCUUUUCGAUUUUAUUUUUUAAUAUUGAGCUGGUUAAGAAUUACAGUUAUAAUAUGUGAGGAAAGUACUAUAGUUUAUUGAGGAAAACACUGUAGUUUUUCUCACAAAAUAUUGUCAAUUGCUAUAACAUUUUUUCUCAUGAGUUUUUUUCCUUCCAAAAUUAUGUUUUUCAAUUUGUUUUAAAUAUUAAGUUGGUGGAGAAUUUAGCUUUGUAAUUUUUUUUCUUUUUAUUAACAGAAAAGCUAAAUCAUAUGGCGAAAGCACUGUAUCUUUCCUCACAAAACACUGUGGAUUGCUACAAAUCAUUUUGUUCAGUCUCUAAGUUUUUUAUCAACAACACAAUAUUUUUUUUCGUCAUGAAAUAUUGGCUCUAUCAUACUUUUAAUUUCUAUUAUUUAUCUAACGCUUGUUCACAAUCAUAACACUAUCAAGUACAUUUAUUUCAUAAGUUCACAAUAAUAACUUAUUCCUCAUACUUUAAUGGAGUUACUUGAUUACCCCUCAUGGAUUAAAAAACUAUUAUGUAGCUACUGUCUAUAUUUUUAAACUCAUUAAUAACUAAAUUUAAUUCUUUAUUAUUUCUCACCUUAUUUAAAAAAAAACAUAAAUAAUAAAAAAUAGAUGAGAUUGAAAAACUUGGAUUGAGAUCUGAUUAAGAACAUGAUAGAUUUAUGUUUCGAGAACUCAAACUCUUGAAUUCAAAUUAAUGGUUGAAUUUUGAAUUGUGCAAGAAUCAUAGGUAGUAUUUUUGAACGUGCAUCAAUUAUAGGUAGCUUUCCAAAAAAUAUAAUUGCCAAAUUAUUUGAUUUAAAGAUAAGAUCUAAUUGUUGAUUUGAAUUUCACAGUGCAUCAUAUUCUAAGAGUGAGAGGAUUCAAUUUCAUAAAAUUUUGUUCGUAGAUAUCAAUAUACUUUUGGUUGAAAAAAAAACUAGUGUUAUGGAAAGACAAAUAUUGGUCAAAAAGACUAUUACAAAAUCAUUAAUAUUAGUCAAAGUGGUACUUAAUCAAGACUAAUUAGAUUGGUGCUUGAAGUACAUCGUUUGGGGUUAAAUUUUUACCAACAUAAAAAUAAGUUGAAGCGGUAUUACUAUUUUUAUAAGACGAAAUAUGAUACUAGUUACAAGUUAUUUAGAUGGAGAUAAUAAACUCGGUUAAUUUAAUAAUAUGAUAUAAAAAAUAUUAACAAUAAAUAAAUCAAACAAACAACAAUAAUUAAUUAUAAAAAAUAAGCUAAUAAUAUCUUAUUUGUAAGGAGAAAAAAGAAAAACCCCAUCACUAUAAAAAUAUAAACUGACAAUGUCAUAUGUGUAACGUUCUAACACUGUUGUGAAAGGUUACACGACGACAUCAAAAAACAAACCAAGUAAAAUACCAAUAUGUGAGCAUCUCAUGCUUGUUUUUUUUUUCAAUUAAUAUAAUUUAAUUAAUACAAAAAUUCUUUUUUAAAAAAGAUAAACUUAACAAAUAACAGUAAUUAAAAUACCUUAGAUAACCCAACUCAUUUUCAUAAUUAGUGAAAACCAUUUAAAAAGCAAAUAAAAAUAAUAAUAGAGCUCAGUCUCCAAUUAAAUAAAAUUUAAAGAAUGAAAUUGAAAAAAACAUGAGCUUAAAAAAAAACAAUCAAAAGAGUAAGGAUCAAAAUUGAUAGAAAAAAAUAAAGGAUGAGAUUUUAAAAAAAUAUAUUUCAAACAAAAAAAAUAGCAAUUAAAAGAUUUGGAACCAAAUCUGAUAAAUAAAUAAAAUUAUAGGAUGUGAAAUUAUAAAAAAUCUAAUUUUAUAAACAACUUCAAAUAAAAUAAAUAGUAAUUAAAGAAUAAGGAUCAAAUUUAAAAAAUAAAUAAAUUGAAGGGUUGUUAUAAAAAGUUAGAGGUUAGAUGUAAAAAUUAAAGAAAAGAGAAAAAGAAAUAAUAAUCGACGUUAUACCAUAAAUCUAUUUUCCACACACACUGUUCAGGAAUGGAAGCCGCUAUUUGGCAACUGGAUGACACCUUACCUGCUACCUAAAUAGCACCCACUACAUGUGCAUCACUUUAUAAUUUUAAAUAAUAUUUUAUAUGUGUUAGAAUUUUAAUCUUUUUUCAGCAUACUUGAUAAUAAAAAAAAUUAAAAAUAUAUGAAAAAGUUCAUAGAAUCAAGUUAAAAAAUAAAUUUAAAAAUAAUUAAGUCAUUUUAUUGUGAUUUCAAAAAUUAAAAGGUCAAAUAACUCCUGGAUACUAAUUUAAUACCUUUUUUUUUUUUAAUUUCUAAUGGUAAACUACAGUGUAAAAAGAAUAAAAGUACUCUGUUGACAAUCCAAUUGUUUUCGUUGACAAUGACAAAAUUAUUAUUUAUUGUUUCAAUUUAUAGUACAAAAGAACAUAGCGAUAUAAUAUUCUACACCACACUGUUGUUUUAGUUUUUUCCUUAAUAAUUAAUUAUUUUAUACAAACAAUAGAGGGUAGAUUACGUAAUUAGCAUCGGAAAUACAAAUAAAUAGCAAAUUAACACAAGAUAAUUUUUUUUUUGAUGAUGAAAUAGUAUAAUUUAAAGGUGUCACGAUUCAAAAGCACAACAUUUUAAUAUAUAUUGCAUUUCAGAACUCUGACUCUAAUUAUAAUUUUAUCGUGGUUCUGAAAUAUGAUAUCAUUGAAAUGUCAAUAUUGGAUUGAUUGUGAAAUAAAAUUCAUGGUUUAUUUAUUUUUAUUUUUUAUAGUUAUUACGAUCUCAAAUAAAUAUUUUUUUUAAAAUUGGUACUUAAUUUUUAAGCAUUUAUUUUUAUCAUAAAAUUAAAUAAAAAUAAUUUUAAAAAAUAACAAAGUUAUUAAACUCAUUAAAGUUGAUGAUUCAGGUCGCAAGAGACCGAGAUCAAUUAAAUCUGAUAUCGUCUCAAUAUUUAAAAAAACUAUCAUCUUAAUAUUUUUUUAAAAGUUAUAUUAUGUAAUUACUGGUCAUCAAAGUUAUUUUUAGACCCAUUAAAUUAAUUGAUUCAUUUUAGAUCAACUCCGACAUAGUUUAAUUGAAACUUCAGCUAAGUCAAAUUAAAAGAUUUCAACAUCAAACCACUUAAAUUUAAUGAUAUUAUAAAAAAGAAUCUUGAUAUUCCUAAUACUUUUCUUUAGUUUAAAAAACAUAAUCCUACGCAAGGCAGAAUUUACUAGUUUAAAAAAAUCUUGAUAUUCCUAAUUCAUUGUAUUCUGAAGUCUUGAAAAUUCCAACAAAACAUCCCCUCUAGCUCACCUCACGUUAAAGGGGACUUGGAAAGGGCAAACCUACCUACCAGACCUCGACGUCGUCACUGAGUACCUUGAAAUUCAACUGCUGCAACUGCCCGCAGAGCCAGUUUCUUCGAUGUAAAAGAAAAUGAGAAGGUUUGAUUAUACACAUAUUUGAGUAUCCCUUAAAGGAGAAUUGUGAAUGUUAAAUAUUAAAAGAUCCUCAUAUGUAUUAAAUAGGUAGGUAAUUAACUUUGUUAUUUUCUAUUGCCAGCUAUAAUUUAUGUAAUAUAACAACCUGUUUGAAAAUAAAAUUACAAUUGCUUUUUAAAAUAAUUUUUUAUUCAGAAAUAUAUUAAAAUAAUAUAUUUUAUUUUUUAAAAAUUAUUUUUUAUAUACGCACAUGAAAAUAAUUUAAAAACACCAAAAAAUAUUAAUUUAAAAAAAAAUAAAAUUUAAAUGUUUUCAAAAAUAUUUUAAAAACUAAAAAAGAAACAGGACUUAUAAUCCUGACUACAUAAAAGUUCACUAGUUUUCAGCUGUCCAGAAAAAAAGCAACAUGCUUUCGUAGUCAAGGCCAAGCAUUCAACUUUUCCAAAAUAAUCUUCCAUGCACGUUUCAGGAAAUUUAAGAGGUCGAUCGUGUAGAAGAAACUUUGUUUUUCAAAAAACCAAAACAAAACCGACCACCUCAUUCACUGUUGCUAUAUGUGAAGUCUAUAAAGGUCACCCAUUACCCCAUCUAUUUUGAUACAGAACCAUUUCCUCCUUGUUCAUCUCUCCCAACUCCUUUUCUAGCUCAUUUUUGUUUUUGCGACAAAAUUAACCUCUAAACUCAACCAAUCAUGUUCAUCAAAUACUUAAAUCUUAUUAGUGCCCAUCUCAGAUGGGCAUUUAAUUUCUUGUGUUACUAUCCGUUCAGCUUCCAAGAACAUGAAUUGUUUGCUGUGACUGCAAUUGGUGAAGAACUAAACACGGUGAUCAAUGAAGCUCCUGCGGAAUGUGCUGUGUGUCUAAGUGACGUUCAAGAAGGCGAAGAAAUCAGAGAGCUGAGAUGUGGGCAUAUCUUUCAUAGAGCAUGCUUAUACAGAUGGCUUGACUUCCGGCAAUCGACUUGCCCACUUUGCCGAGGAAGUCUUACUCCCCGGAGAACAUUGAUCCUUGAUCAGCACCGAACAGAAGUAUUGACGUUCAAGUUCUGUUCUUUCACAUCCACCGAUGAACGUGAUACAUGGUGGCUACGAUGAAUCAAGUCUUCAAGAUUUUAGUACCUCGUCAGGAGAAAGCACAACGGAGUAACUACCUUCUUCCCCGUCCUUCAGAAUAUCAUGGCAUGUUCGUUAACGAGUUGCUAUUGAUGCAAACUUCUCAAGCAUGAAGUGAUCGUUAAUUCCUGAGCAUGGGACAGACUAAUUAAGCUGAAGGUUCAUUGUUAGAAUAUAACGUUUUUUUUUCCUUCCUAUAUUGCAUCAUCUGCUAAUUUACCUGAAAGGGUGAAGCCAUCUCCCUCUCGGAAUCUCUAAUAACAGUCCUGCAAUGCCAUGCAUGUUGUCUCUUAGCCAUUCUUGUAAUAAACUUGAUGUUUGGUAAGUGUUGUUUUAGUUAAUUUUGGUGAAUCUUUCAAAAUCUCGCUAAGAUCCAAGCAUAAUACAGGAGAGAGUUGAAUGGAAAGACGAUGUUGAGAUUUUUGUUUCAUUACUGGGAUGGAUAAGUUAGUUUGUCCACUACCAUAAACAAAAAAUCAUUAUUUUUCAGUUUUCUAUAUUACAUAUUAUUUAUUUAUCACUUAUAUAUACAUAUACAUAUAUAUUAAGAUGAUAUUUUUUAUUUUAUUUUUUGAAUUCAUUUUUGACAUUAAAAAACAUAAAAAAUUAAUUUUAAAUAAUAAAAAAAAUGAUUUUUAGUAAAUCUUUAUCUGGACGGCACUCCAGAGCUAAGAAUCUAACUUCUAAAGCAAAGAAAAGUAUAUCCAUUAAAAACAAAGUUAAUAUUAACUUUACAAAGCAACUGACAGAAGUUUUCUUGAUCAAUCGAUAGAAUGAACCCAAACACCCCCAGCCCAACAGAAGAGGGCCACGCCCAAUAACCAACCCUGGGGUGAUCGAACCUGCCAUGCUAUGAGUAAAACAGAGAAGCAGCUGAUAAAGUUGACCGGUGACUCAAUACUUUCCCUGAAUCUAACCCCGGCUCAGAUUUAAAACUUAUGCUUCUACCCCUUGCUCCGUGCAGAAGAUCCGCCUUUAAGAGACAGGGAAGGGAGAAGCCUCCUUUGAUAUUUUCAUGGACAGUCAAGUCCGUACGGUUUUUAAAAGUAUUCGGCCUAGGCCACGCGACUCACAUGAAUUUCUCUUUGUUUUUUCAGCUCUCCAUUCAUUUGUUAUCUAUUUAUUUGUGGCUCAGAACAAGUUUCCUGUCUCAUCGCAAAUAAAUUUUUGAUAAGUCCUUUUUAAUUUUUUUCUCGAUAAACUUGAACUAAAUGUUUAAACUCGUUUCGAAAAAAACCAUCAGAGAAAACAGCAGAACCUCUAUUUCAAGGGUCGAUAUUUCUUCCAGAAAAUCUUUUAUCAGUCAAUGGCUUUUAAAUGACAUUAUUUACACCAUAACUUCUCGUUUGAACGGUAAUAUAUAUGGAUUAACAAUUUUAUAAUUAUUAUAGCAAGCAUGUGGGCAUCUAUAAUUGCUAAAAUAAAUUUAAGGAGCUGUCAAGUUACCUCAGUAACUUAUGUGCCAGUUAAGUAAAUCAUUUGAUUGUUUGAGCCAAAAAAUACAUUAUCAACCAUGCGUGACAUGCAUCUAGCUUCGACAGGUAAUGAUAAUAUUGAUGGAUGCUAACCAUUUAGCAGGUGGUUCAAUGACAAGAGCUUGAGAUGAAGGGGUUUGCUUCCCCUAUGAUCUCAGGUUCGAGUCCUGAGGUUCCUAAUAUUAAUGGCCACUAAAAACUUAUCUAAUCGUUAACUUCAGGAUCCGUAGAGAUUAGUCGAGAUGCACAUAAGCUGAUACAAACAUCCCACUUGAAUAAAAAUAUAUAUAUUGAUGGAUGCUGGAUUAAUAAGUGUUUUAUUAGUAAUAUUAUGUAAACAAUUUUUUUUUGUAUAAGAUCUUCAUAUAAACAUAUGUAAUCUUUAUUUUGUGUGAGUUAUCAUUACUCUAUUAUUUAUAAAAUUCAUAUUUUAUUACUCAUUAAUUAACACAGAGUUUAUAUAAAUUUUGGAAAGGAAAAUUAUUGUUCCCUGUCCCAUCUAGCGCGCGGAACACGCCGUGAAAGCUCCCUGACCUGUGAUAAGGAUGCAAGAUAUAGGGGACCACGGCUAGUUUCCCUGCUCAUUUACGAGGCUCCAAUAAUUUCUUUCGCCGAGAAAAAAAAAAGUCGGUCGUCGAAUUGAUGAGAGACAAGUUCUACCUGUGAUGCACAUUAAUUUCAUGAAAGUGAGUCUCUUACGAAUAAUUCAGGCUCACGAAUAAAAUACUUUCAAAAUACAAAAACAAACAAUCUCUCUUCUCUUCCUCUAUGUUUAUUUAUUUUUGGCGUCUUCCUGAACGUAGAGCAACUGUGCAACACAAAAUCUGAUUAUCUUUGCGAUUCCCACUCCUUGUAGAAGCAUGAAUUUAAAUUCCUAAACACUAAAAAAUCUAAAAUAAAAGUGUAUCACAACAACACUUGAAGCAUUAUUAUUUUACUCUCUUUUUUUUAUUGGAUAAUAAGAUAUUUUUGAGCUUGUGUAUGAAUUGAAACUAUAUUUUUGAGAGACGAAACACGUGAAACACGAAGAAACGCAAGCCAUUUAUUACUCCCAGGAAACAAUCGGAUUAUAAACAUGGCAUGUGUGAAACACGUUCAAACAGGAGCCCACCUUGAAAAGAAAAGGUACUAUUAUAAUUUACAGUGUAAUGGAUAUGGGUAAAUAAUAAUAUAAUGUUCCGAGUAUUAAAGAGUUUUAUGUGGAAUUAAGGAAUUUUAAUUUGAAUCUUUAUACUUGUAAAUGCAUGUCCAAGUUAUGUAAACUUAAGUAAAUAUAAUCCUUGUGAAAAUAAAUCUACUCUUCUUUUUAAUUAAGGUGAAGAGUCUUGUUGUCCACUUUAUUUGAAGCCACAAUUCAAAUAAUUAAUCAAAUACCAUUAAAAUCUUUCACUUUUACAGGACUCAUGUCCACUUUAUUCGAAGUCACAAUUCCGACUAUUUUUCACUUUUACAGGAAUCAACAAAACAGCAGAGGAAAUCUUUCACUUUUACAGAAGUCACAGUUAUCUUUUAUUGUUUUGUGACUUCUGCAAACAGAAAAGAUUUCCUCUGUUAUUUGAACAGCACAAGAAAAAUAUUCGGAAUUGUGACUUCAAAUAAAGGUUUGUCUUUGUGGGUUCUUAUAGUGGCAGAAGCAUGUGUGUCUGUCAUGCUUAUGGUUAACCAUUGAUUUCAAGUAUUUUAAAGAGAAAAACCAUCUACGAUCUCUGCUGCUUUGUUGUUUCCUCUGUAUUGGACCUGCGGCUCCAUGGUUUCUUGAUUCCCUGUUUCUGUUUCCUCUGUAUGCUCCAUGGUUUCUUGAUUCCCUGUUUCUGUUUCCUCUGUAUGCUCCAUGGUUUCUUGAUUCCCUGUUUCUGUUUCCUCUGUAUUGGACCUGCGGCUCCAUGGUCACAAUUCCGACUAUAAGAACCCACAAAGACAAACCUUUCUCUUUUUAUUUUUAUUUUGCACUCACAACACAAGAAAAAUAGUCGGAAUUGUGACUUCAAAGAAAGUGGACAAGACUCCGGUAAAAGUGAAAGAUUUUAAUGGUAUUUGAUUUAUUAAUUGAAUUGUGACCAGUGGCGGAGCCACAGAGGGACAAAAGGGGGCAAUUGCCCCCUUAACUUUUAUUUAUUUAUUAAAAUAUUAAUAUAUUAGUUUAGAGAAUUUAUUGUUACUGAGGGAAGGAAAAAGGAAAGUUGAUAUUGUUUAUAAUUGUUGACUUAUAUAUUAAUAUAAUAUAAUAUAUAUACAUAGCUUAUUCCACGGAAGUUUUUCCUUUUUCCUUUUUAUUUCUAUAUUAAAUCAUUAGUACCGGCUUAAAAUUAUAGAAUCAAAUUAUAGAAUCCCUGACUAACAGAGUAUUUUUUUGUUCCUGCCUAUCUUUUCAUGAGCUGUUGUGUUUGCUUUACUCUUUUCAGCUGUUGUUCUCUGCCUUUCUGAUAUGUAAAUUUCUCAUAAAAUAUAAUUAAGUAAUUAAUUUUUUUUUGUUUUUUGUUUUGUAUUUUAGCUAAAUUUUCUUUAUUUUUUUUAUUUCAUUGUUUAAUUUUAAUAUUAUUAUUUUAUAAUUAAUUAUUAAAAAUAUUAGGGUUUAUGAUAAUUUAGGGGUUUUGAUAUGAAUAUGUUCCAAUAUAUUCAAAAUAAAUAUUUAAAUCUACUAAUUUAAUCAAUUAAAUGUUUCUUUUCUUAUUAUAAAGGAAUAAAUUAAUAUUCAUGCAAAACCACUAUUAUUGACAUAUCUUGCAUUGGUAGAGUAGUUUAUUGAAAUUUAAUAUUUUCAUAUGACUUGUUUGUAAGUAAAAUAUCAAGUAGAAAGCAUGUUUUUCAAAAAUUGUUCCUCUUGCACAUACACGAGGCAUUGCUCCUCAAUUAAAUAUCUAGAAAUGAUUAAGUAUAAUUUAAUCAAUAUACUUAUUAUAUGCAUAUAGAUAUGAAUUGAAAUAGGUUUUGAUUUUGAUGAAUUGAUGUGUAUUUUGCUAUGAAUUUCAUAUAGAAGAUUUAGAAUUAUUGUGUAACUCAACUGAUUUUUAUUUAACAGUGAAUUAUUGUGUAGUUUGUUAAUUAUUAUGUAGACACUAAUGAUGAUAAAAAAUCUAGCAGGUUCAUAUUAAAUUAACAUGUCACUAGACAAGUAUUUCAAGCGUAAAUCCCUUGAGGAUGAAGAAUCAAUCAAAGCUUCAAGUCAUGUAACUCAAUCAAGUUCAAAGAAAAGUCAUAUUGAAAUAGGAUGGGAGAUAAGUGGAUGAAUAAUAGUUUGGUUGUAUACAUUGAGAAAGAUAACUUCGAUAAGAUUGAUAAUGAAGCUAUUAUGAAGCGGUUUCAAAAUAUAAAAACUCGAAGAGAACAAUUAUAAUGUAAGUUUUUUUAGUUUAAAAGUAUUUUUAAAUUAAUUUUACUUGAUAUGAAUUAGUAUAUAUGUUUCGAAUUGAUUUAUAAUGUAUAUCUAUAUAAUAUAUUAUUUGUUAAUAAUUUGUCCCCUCAUUAAAAAAACUCUGGCUCCGCCACUGAUUGUGACUUCAAAUAAAGUGGAUUUGAGGAAGGUUAUUUUAGAAAAGAUUUGAAUUGUGAUUAAUUAAUUGAAUUGUGACUUCAACAGUUAACCUUUUUUUUUUUCCACUCCCGGUGUAUUACUUUUGUUUUCCUGCAAUAUUUUUUUUUCUUUUUUUCCCAAAAUUAUAUCUAUACAUUAACUUUUUUAAUGCUGAGCUGGUUAAAAAUUUCGCUUUGUAAUUUUUUUUCUUUAGAAUACUGUAAAUUACUACGGUGUUUUUCCAUAUGGUUUUUCUAUUUUAUUUUUUUUAUUUUUUAAAAUUAUAUUUAUCGAUUUUAUUUUUUUAAUAUUGAGCUGAUUGAGAAUUUAGUUUUGUAAUUUUUUUUCUUUAAAAUAUUGUUGAUUGCUACAACGUUUCUCCAUAUAGUUUUUUUUUGUUUUUGUUUUUUUAUAAUUUUCUCCAAAAUUAUCUUUUCGAUUUUAUUUUUUAAUAUUGAGCUGGUUAAGAAUUACAGUUACAAUAUGUGAAGAAAACACUAUAGUUUAUUGGGAAAAACACUGUAGUUUCCCUCACAAAAUAUUGUCAAUUGCUACAAUGUUUUUUCUCAUGAGUUUUUUUCAUUCUAGAAUUAUUUUUUUCAAUUUUUUUUAAAUAUUAAGUUGGUUGAGAAUUUAGCUUUAUAAUAUUUUUUCUUUUUAUUAACAGAAAAACUAAAUCAUAUGGUAAAAGCAUUAUAUCUUUCCUCACAAAAUACUGUGGAUUGCUACAAAUUAUUUUGUUCAGUCUCUAAGUUUUUUUAUCACCAACACAACAUUGUUUUUUCAUCAUGAAAUGUUGGCUCCACCAUACUUUUAGUUUCUAUUAUUUAUCUAACGCUGGUUCACAAUCAUAACACUAUCAAGUAUAUUUAUUUUAUAAGUCCGCGACAGUGCGCGAGCAUGCCAAUAACUUAUUCCUAGUACUUUAAUGGAGUUACUUGAUUACUCCUCAUGGAUUAAAAAACUAUUAUGUAGCUAAUGUCUAUAUUUUUAAACUCAUUAAUAACUAAAUCUAAUUCUUUAUUAUUUCUCACCUUAUUUUUUAAAAAAACAUAAAUAAUAAAAAAUAGAUGAGAUUGGAAAACUUGGAUUGAGAUCUAAUUAAGAAUAUGAUAGAUUUAUGUUUCGAGAACUCAAACUCUUGAAUUCAAAUUAAUGGUUGAAUUUUGAAUUGUGCAAGAAUCAUAGGUAGUAUUUUUGAACGUGCAUCAAUUAUAGGUAGCUUUUCAAAAAAUAUAAUUGGCAAAUUAUUUGAUUUAAAGAUAAGAUCUAAUUGUUGAUUUGUAUUUCACAGUGCAUCAUAUUCUAAGAGUGAGAGGAUUCAAUUUCAUAAAAUUUUGUUUGUAGAUAUUAAUAUACUUUUGGUUGAAAAAAAACUAGUAUUAUAGAAAGACAAAUAUUGGUCAAAAAGACUAUUACAAAAUCAUCAAUAUUAGUCAAAGUGGUACUUAAUCAAGACUAAUUAGAUUGGUGUUUGAAGUACACCGUUUGGGUUAAUUUUUUACUAAUAUAAAAAAAAUUUCUACACCAAACCCCUUAAAUUUAAUGAUAUUAUAAAAAAAAUUCUUGAUAUUCCUAAUACUUUUCUUAAGUUUAAAAAACAUAAUCCUACGCACGGCAGAAUUUACUAGUACCCAACUAAGACGCGUCCCCUAAUUUAUUGUAUUCUUUCUGUUCACCACUUCGGCAGAACUUUAAUACUGUUGACUGUAACCUUCGAAUCUUGAAAAUUCCAACAAAACAUCCCCUCUAGCUCACCUCACGUUAAAGGGGACUUGGAAAGGACAAACCUACCUACCAGGCCUCGACGUCGUCACUGAGUACCUUGAAAUUCAACUGCCGCAACUGCCAGCAGAGCCAGUUUCUUCGAUGUAAAAGAAAAUGAGAAGGUUUGAUUAUAUUAUAGUAGAAUUGUGAACGUUAAAUAUUAAAAGAUCCUCAUAUGUAUUAAAUAGGUAGGUUAUUAACUUUCUUUUGCCCGAUAUAAUUGAUGUAAUACAAGAUAUUGUUUGUCUGAUAAUAUAAUUGUAAUUGUUUUUUAAAAUGUUUUUUAUUUAGAAAUAUAUUAAAAUAAUAUAUUUUUAUUUUUUAAAAAUUAUUUUUGAUAUCCACGCAUCAAAAUAAUUUAAAAACACAAUAAAAUAUUAAUUUAAAAAAAAAUUUAAAAUGUUUUCAAAAAUAUAUUUAAAACUAAAAAAGAAACAGGACUUAUAAUCCUGACUACAUAAAAGUUGACUAGUUUUCAGCUGUCCAGAAAAAAAGCAACAUGCUUUCGUACUCAAGGCCAAGCAUUCAACUUUCCCAAAAUAAUCUUCCAUGCACGUUUCAGGAAAUUUAAGAGAUCGUGUAGAAGAAACUUCGUUUUUCAAAAAAAAAAAACCGACCACCUCAUUCACUGUUGCUAUAUGUGAAGUCUAUAAAGGUCACCCAUUGCCCCCAUCUAUUUUGAUACAGAACCAUUUCCUCCUUGUUCAUCUCUCCCAACUCCUUUUCUAGCUCAUUUUUGUUUUUGCGACAAAAUUAACCUCUAAACUCAACCAAUCAUGUUCAUCAAAUACUUAAAUCUUAUUAGUGCCCAUCUCAGAUGGGCAUUUAAUUUCUUGUGUUACUAUCCGUUCAGCUUCCAAGAACACGAAUUGUUUGCUGUGACUGCAAUUGGUGAAGAACUAAACACGGUGAUCAAUGAAGCUCCUGCGGAAUGUGCUGUGUGUCUAAGUGACGUUCAAGAAGGCGAAGAAAUCAGAGAGCUGAGAUGUGGGCAUAUCUUUCAUAGAGCAUGCUUAUACAGAUGGCUUGACUUCCGGCAAUCGACUUGCCCACUUUGCCGAGGAAGUCUUGCUCCCCGGAGAACAUUGAUCCUUGAUCAGCACCGAACAGAAGUAUUGACGUUCAAGUUCUGUUCUUUCACAUCCACCGAUGAACGUGAUACAUGGUGGCUACGAUGAAUCAAGUCUUCAAGAUUUUAGUAAGUACCUCGUCAGGAGAAAGCACAACGGAGUACGUAACUACCUUCUCCCCCCUCCUUGAGAAUAUCAUGGCAUGUUCGUUAACGAGUUGCUAUUGAUGCAAACUUCUCAAGCAUGAAGUGAUCGUUAAUUCCUGAGCAUGUGACAGACUAAUUAAGCUGAAGGUUCAUUGUUAGAAUAUAUAUAAGGUUUUUUUUUCCUUCCUAUAUUGCAUCAUCUGCUAAUUUACCUGAAAGGGUGAAGCCAUCUCCCUCUCGGAAUCUCUAAUAACAGUCCUGCAAUGCCAUGCAUGUUGUCUCUUAGCCAUGCUUGUAAUAAACUUGAUGUUUGGUAAGUGUUGUUUUAGUUAAUUUUGGUGAAUCUUUCAAAAUCUCGCUAAGAUCCAAGAAUAAUACAGGAGAGAGUUGAAUGGAAAGACGAUGUUGAGAUUUUUGUUUCAUUACUGGGAUGGAUAAGUUAGUUUGUCCACUACCAUAAACAAAAAAUCAUUAUUUUUCAGUUUUCUAUAUUACAUAUUAUUUAUUUAUCACUUAUAUAUACAUAUACAUAUAUAUUAAGAUGAUAUUUUUUAUUUUAUUUUUUGAAUUCAUUUUUGACAUUAAAAAACAUAAAAAAUUAAUUUUAAAUAAUAAAAAAAAUGAUUUUUAGUAAAUCUUUAUCUGGACGGCACUCCAGAGCUAAGAAUCUAACUUCUAAAGCAAAGAAAAGUAUAUCCAUUAAAAACAAAGUUAAUAUUAACUUUACAAAGCAACUGACAGAAGUUUUCUUGAUCAAUCGAUAGAAUGAACCCAAACACCCCCAGCCCAACAGAAGAGGGCCACGCCCAAUAACCAACCCUGGGGUGAUCGAACCUGCCAUGCUACGAGUGAAAAAGAGAAGCAGCUGACAAAGUUUUUUUUGCGAGAGAUGGGCUGGAGAAUAUUGUUCUUUCGAGGAGGAGAAAAGAACGGGGAAUCUGUGUUUCCUCCCUCACAUUCAUCACUUGAUAGAUAGCUAGCGGCAUAGUUACAUAGUAGAGACACUGUUUAGUAGACAGCAUGUCUUCUACAAAUUGUAGCAGAAAUUGGUAUUUAUGCACCAACGAGAUAGCAGCAUGUGAUAGCGUAAAUGUAUUAAUCUUCAGUAUAUUAUCAUUCUCAGACAGUAUAUAAUUGACCUUCUGUAGUAUAUUAUCUUCUCUUGCACAAUUUUGUUAAGCUAUGACAAAUAUUCAUUUCAAUACCUAAUAUUUUCAACAUUUAAGACUCACAGGUGCCCAUAUAUCUCUAUGAUACCCUUUUCAUGAUUUUCUUCCUCUUUGAUAAUGCUUUUGACAAAUAUUCGAAUAUUUCUACCUAUCGUUUUAAAACUCGACACGAACUGAAACCUAGCUAAUUCAAAGCUAGAACCAGACCGGAUUUAUAUAAAAAAAUAAAAAUAGUUAAAAAUAAAAUGUUCAAACCCAGCCUAGUGGUCAACCCGGUAUGACCCUAUCAAAACCCGGUUGCAAUCUGUUGAUUAUUUUUUUAUUUUUUACCAAUAAAACAUCAUUUUGAUUUAUAAAAAAAAUAGGGUUGACUCGGGUAACCCGGUCAAAACCCGUGACCCGGGCCUUGAGCCGGGUUUAAAAACACUGUUUCUACUAAUUAAUUUCUUUUUUAUGUUAACUUGUUCAAUGGAGCAUCAUACAUAAUUUGAAUUUAAAAAUAUUAAAAAUUAUAUUAUGUGGUCUGAAAAUAACGGAGAAAGGGAGGGAAUUUAAUUUUCACGAAAGAAAAAAAAAAUCAAAAUAUAGAGCCAACAAAAGUGGGAAACUGGGGGGGGGGGGGUUUGGUCUCAUUGGCAGCUGCUCUCCCUCACAAGGGACGAUUUAAGUUCAAAUUCAUCUCCCCCAAAACAUAAGAACACCCCAUCCUUCGCACACCAAAUACACAGCUCAACAUCGUAAAAAUGUUUGUAUAGCAUCCCCGCUGAGCCUGUGCCAUACUAUGCAAUUUCAAGAAGAAAAAAAAAAACUGGAUUUUCAACUCCUUACAUGAAUGCUAAAGUAAAUAACCAAGAAUACGAGUCAAAAACUUCAAAUGCAUGAACUACAAUGUGUAAGUCAACCUGGCAAAGAUGAUCAAAUAGUUGUUUGUCGCUCUGAACGAACUUUGCAAAGAAGUCAGCAAGAUAAUUUACCACGUUAAUCUGCUUGGAACAGUUCAUGUGACACUUCAAUUAAUGGAGAGCACAAGGAGAUAAUAUUGAAUAAUUAAAAAGGAUAAUGCUAAUUACCUCAUUGAGUGGAUCGGAAACACUCAAAGGUCAUCAUCGCCCCCGUCCUCUUCAUUCUUGAAGAUCACAAAAUUUUGGUUGGUACUGGGGGAGGCGCAAAUGAGAGAAAAAAAAUAUAAAAUAACAUGAUUUAAUUAAAAAAAAUGUGACAGGUGGAAAAUGCAACAAUAGAACGGUAAAAUCUUCAUAUCAAUACACCUCAUUAUAAGCUUUUGCCAUUGCUUCGAGUUGGCCAGGCGUAGUUCUGCCGAAUGAUGGAGCAGCAGCAGAGCACAGCACACUAGACUCUGACACCCCUGACUAAAUUUCCUCCCAGUCGCUCCCCUGCUGCAACAGUUAGCUCAAACCUUGAGAGUUCUAUUCCUUGCAGCUACGGGGACAAUGACAUUAAAGAAACCUGAAAAGGAUGCCCCCUAACUCAUCAUCAGCUAUUGCCUGUUCUUGGAAUUCGAUCACAGUGUCUGCCAACAAAGCCAAUAUCUGCAACAUACAGAGACCAGAUAAGGAAAGCGCAUAAAUGGUUGAUUAUAUACCCUGUCAAUUAUUAACAAUAAAAAUAAAAUAGUACGCACUGAGGUUAAAGUUCUAUAUCUAAGAAAAUGAAAAUACCCCAAAAUGCUAAUUUGUGUUUUGUUCAUUUGACUAUGUAAUAUACCCUUUACAAAUUGGCUAUAGGAUUUUAUUUUUUUUCGAUUUGAACAAAAAAAAAUUAAUAUUUUUCUCACAUAUGGGAUAAAUAUUAUGAAAGGGAGGAGAAUUAAAUUAUUCCAUGUCUUUUAAGGGUUCAUCUGCUAGAAGUUAAUGUAGCUAAGUGACGAUGUCUGAAAAAAUUGCCCUUUUGGAAAGAAAAAAAUUAUUGGGGAGGAACUUGCUCUCUCAAUGUCAUGUAUAAAACAUUGCUACAAGUUGAUGUGCAAAAACAUUGUAAGGAACAGUAAGUUUUUCAAGGAAGCAACACCAAUAUUGGUUUAUAAAUGAAUAGGAGUGAUUGUGAUAUAUGGUGAAAGUGAGACAAAGAAAGCAAUUGACUCUUGUUCACAAAUAAUUUUGAAAUUCUUGCUAUUGGCAAACUUUCUACCUUACAGAAGUGGGCACUAUAGCCACUGAUAAGGAGCCAAUCUAGCUUUUGACCGAGUGGUUAUUCCUGCAGCAGACUAUUGAUAAAAAGAGUAAGUUCUUGAAACAAGCUUGCAUAUCUAUACAUGCGCAUUCAAAGCUUAAUCGUAAGGAUGAACCUUUAUAUGUCCCUGCACAUUAAUUUUACUCAAUUCAGCAUGCCUCGUGGAUAACAACAGGACCGGAGCACUGGUUGUGACCUUAAUUUUUUAGGCCACUUGAAUCUCUCCUGCAUUCAAUUACAAAGUUGGGGUUCAAAAUCAAUUUAGUUCAUUUUGGUUAUGUCAUCGAUAGCUCGGAAAACAAUGACAGAAACAUUACAAAUCGAUUGCAGUCAUUAUGCUUUAUCAAAAACAAAAAUACAAGGACAUGUUUUAUAAUUAGUUCAUCCAGAUAUAAAUAUUUUGCACAUGAAUUUAAAUGCAAGAUAUAUGACCCUUAGACAUUGUAACCAAGUGAACUAGAAUAUUCAAAAGAGUACCUCAAAAAAGAAAAAACCACUGACCUCAACAACGAGCACAUAUUGGAAAAAUAUAUGCAAAAAGUAAUGGCUCCCAUGUAGUUACUAAAAAGUUUCACAAUACUUCCAUUUAUAAUUUUAUUCAAGCUUUCAGGUAUUAAAUUCUUUCCAAUCCACUAAUGAUUUGGAAACUUAAUAAAUCAAAUACUUCUAAAUUUGUAUAAACUAAAUCAGAUCAGGAAUGGCGUAACAGUAGAUCUUCUCCAUUGUUAAAUAGCGCAAAGGUUUGAAGUAGGAGGAAAAUGGCUCCUCAUUCAAUAGGUUACUUUUACCCUAACCAGAGCUGAUUUCAAUAAACUUCAAUCUGUUGUACAAAUUACAAAAACUAAAAGUGGGAGACAGCCUGAUAAAUUUACUGGUGAAAAAAACUAGACAGCCAGCAAUAUAAAUCACAUCCGUCAUUCAAGGAAAUUAUAAACUGGAAGGAAGAGGAAAAUGAUGAAAUUAGAAAUUCCAAGCAAUUUUUCUUAAUUAACAAAUGAGAUACUUACUGUAAGCAUAGAAUAUAACCUAGCAAAAUCCCAUACAAGAAAUGAGGAUCCUACAAUUUCGUUUUUCUUCUUAAUCAUAAGAAUACUUAACGAGUGUUUUAUGAAAUGAGGAAUCUGCAAUUUCUUUUUUUCUUCUGGAUAAUAAUAAUAUUUAACAAGUGUCUUACGAACACGGAAAUUAAUAGCUCAUGGCACCGAGCACUUGAUUUUCCUUUAACUGUGGAAUUUGGGAAAAGAUGAGAUUCAGACAAAUAACUUAAAUGGACUUAUGUUACUGGUUUGAGAUUCAAACAAUUAGGAUCAGUCCUCUCUCUAUUAGUCGAUAUGAAAUUUGGUAAUUAAACCCAAUGAAUCCUGCUAAAAAGUCAAGAUUCCAUCAAUUUAUCAAAUCAAAUUCAACAUUAUAAUCUAGCCAGGGCAUGUACUGCACGGGCAAAAUUUCAAACAGAAAGUGAUUAAUACAGCACAAAAGUUGUCACUAACAAACAAUGACAGAGAGGAAAGAAUCAAGGAAUUGAACAGCUGUGGCCAGGAGAUAUCAUCACCCCUAACACAUUUGUAAAUUGAAACAAAAGUAACUAGGAAGCAUACUUACCUUGCUGUUUAGUCCAUUCUGACAUCACAUAAACAAAGGAGUUUUCAUAGCCUUCAGCUGGUAUACCUAUCAGCGCAUCAAAGAAUUGUUCAACAUGAGAAGCGUUCAUAUGGGCCUGUGUAUUAUACAAUCAGAACGUGCAAAAGUCAGUCCAUGAAAAGCAAAUGAAGUGCCCGUGAAAUCUUAGCCAUAGCAGCUAAUAAGACAGCAGUGUGUCAAUAAAAGAGGAUACAAGGCAAGUGAUUGAAACCCUAUUUAUUAGUGGAAAUUAUUUGACAAUAUCCUUAAGCAUUGCCCUACUAGGCAAAAGAAAGUUGACAUAGUUUGAGUUGACUGAAGCUGAAGCAUCGAGUAUUGAAGGCACAUACCAAUCUAUAAUAAGCAGCAAUGAGCUUUUCAACCCCACUAUUUGAGCCGAUUGCAUUCGUUGAACAAGAGCAGCAACCAGGUCUCGGAUAUGCGUUGCCAUUUGCAAUGGCAGGUGUAAAAUAAGCUGUAAAAUGUAACUCCCAACAAAAACAGAUCCAGAGCUUUCCAGAUCAGGGUUGAGAAGCCUGCAAAGCCAAGAAUUUAAUCAGGGUCAAGAAACAAAAUUCUACAUGGAGUUCAUGAUCAGCAAGAAUCAUUUUCAUUGUAAAGCUCUAGAUGGAGCACCAUCAAGAAACCAUAAAGCAACUGACGUGCAAAAUUACAUUUAAAUCAUACGAAAUAGAGUUCAUCAAAACAGACUCCAUAUUUAGAGGACCAGAAAAGGUUGAAAUCUGCUAAGCAGCGAGGAAUCGCAGUUUAGGCAAAUAGGAUCAAGAACUGAAACCCAAUUUAUCUGUUGUCCUAUGUCAAUCUGCAAUGAUGAUGGGCAACUCAUGCUCAAUAUAUUUUCUAAUUUUAAGAUUCUUUUUUGGAAAACCCCCUAAAUUUAUCCCUUGUGUUUGUGUUAAAAUUGCAAUUCUCAUGGUCCUGCUCUGUUCUUCAGUCACCUACUUAGCAUGCAUAUAUAUGCACAUGCACUAGCAUACCCACCUUUUCUUUGAACAAGUUCCUAUUUCCAUUCAUAGAAACCUCCCAUUCUAUAACCAACAAGAAAACUAAAACCAAUCAAAUAGUGCUUUCUCAAAUAGCACAAAAUAUGUGAAGAACACUAACCUGAGGUGACGAUACAAUUGUAUGCAAGCAUGGGAACAAAACCGGUACUAGUGUUGGCACCACAGUAUCAUCUAGAUCCCCAGAGAGAAGGGCCGAACACCUUAGAGCUCCAUGCACUACAAAUUCCAACAUCAACUAUAGCCAUCUUUCUCGAGUCAAGUUUCAAUGAACUGGUCACUUAUAAAGAUAUCCAAACUCAAGAUUCAAUUUGACAAAUAGAACUUGAGGAUUUAUUUAUGUAUUUAAAAAUGUCUUGCUUGGAAUGUACAUGACAAUCUCAAAUUUAAAGGGGGGAGAGAAAAACUUCACCACAUCCAAACCGAACAUUCCAAAGACUUACGUCCACUCAUAUGAGUUUGAUCGUUAAUCAACUUCAAAAGAAACGGCACUAAAUCAGGCCAAUUCUCAGGCUAGUCAUUACAGAAAUCGAAGCAGUAGCCAUACUAAUUGCGGUACAAAUCUUCCGGUGAGAAUCAUCCAACGAAGGUAAACGUAGUCUCCGUGUAACUUGCUAAUGACAGAAGAAGAAUAAACUAAAAAUCAGGUCUCGAUUUAUGAAUUUCAAGAUUUAAAAAGAAGGAAAGGUGGUCAUAACUACCUUCCCUUCAGUUGCGACAACAGGAGGCUCAAGCGAAUCCUCGCCUUCAUGCCAAUGUUUCUUAAUGAAUUGCGUUAAUAGUACCGCAGCUAGGUGAUUAUCAAGUUAAUUCUCGGAACAAAUCAAAUUAAAAAAAAAAGUUAAAAUAAAUCACAAAACCUAAGAAAGAGGAUAUCUGACGCAAUCCAAAAGGAAGUUCCUUAUUUACAGCAACUUUUGAUAAUGCGCGACUCCAAAGCCUGGAGAAAUAAUAUUCGAUUAGACUCCAUCGAUGAUAUCGGAAAAUAUUACGAGGAGAAGAGGGAGGGGAGUGACCUGGAUGGAGAGAGGCUUCGGGGAAGGAACGGGUUUCCUGGUUAGGAUCGAGAGUGGUAUUCAGGCAAUUGAGUAGCCAUUGUUGAUCUUGAUCCAUUACGUUUACCAUUUUAUUUUAUACCUAAUUCAGCUAUUGAGAAAUCAAAAGCCCAGUUUUCUUUUUCCCGCUCUUACAAGGAGAUUUUUGCGGUGAGACGCAAGAGGAUAUUUUUGUUUCAGGUUUAUUUUAUAUGAAUAUAUUGGUCGAGGUUCUUUAGGGGUUACUUUAGCCAAGGAGGGCACACUGGGUUGGGCUUUUAGCCCACCACCAAUUUAUUUCUUGUUUUAAGCCCAUCCAAAUGAUUCUCAAGGAAGACGGAAAAAAAUAAAAGAAGCAAAGAACAGUCAUGAAACAUUGCUAUAUCUGUUCAGUGUGUAAAGCCACAUUUUAUUCGCAGAACACCAAACGUUUCUUACAUGCUUUUACCUUCAUAGGCCUAGAACUCGUAGCAUUUCAAAUACAGUUUUAGGUGAUUUUUUAGCAAAAAAAAGACUGCAAUUAUGUCAUUCCCAUUUGCUCCUAAUUUGAAGAGGAUGCCUAAAAUCAAAGGUCAGCACCACAUUUCCAUCCAUCCUCUUCAAUGCAAACCUCUCAACCAACACAUAGCAACCGAAUUUCCUCCACUCUCCCUUGCCAUCAAACUCCUCGGUUCUCUUCACGCUCACUUGCCGGUCACCAGCCCACCCGACUCUUUCUUGCUCCCACCUCAUUCUCUCCACAAUUUCUAAUCCCAAUCCCACAUUUGUUUCUCGUUCCACAUCGCUAACACUCCUAAACCACAUCACCCCACCAGCAACAAUCUUCUGGUCAUACACAGCUUCUGUCCCAGCAAUUUUAACCACUUGGCAUUUGACAGCAACAUCUACACUCACAGUAUUGUCUUCAUUAUACGUACUUUCACAAGCAAAAAUCUGCUCCCAUUGUUGCUCGAGAGUCAUCUCAUAAUAGGUUGAAUUCCUCAUCUGAUCUUCAAGUGUUUUUCCUUCUUUGAUGAACAUGAAAGGACAAUACCACUUCCCCACCUUCACAGCUUCAGAACAACUCUGUGACAAUGGGAAGCUGAAGUCUGGAAGGCGGGCACGGAGAGCCAUGUUAAGGCCUGGUGCUUCGCUCAGCUGGAACUCCUUGGGAGUUGAAGCAGCCAAUUCCCAACCAUCUCUCCUUAAGAAUUUUGGAGGCAGCCCAUCCGAAGCUACAGAUUUGGCAACAAAGCUACCCCAUUUUAUCUGUCGAAUCUGAAAUCGUUGAUAUAUGCUUCUAGGAUCCAAAGGUCGUGGUUCUAAACAGGAUGUACGAUUGGAGGAACGACUUGUUUUCACUCCUUCAUUAAUCUUGCUGUUUAUGUAAGCUUUCCUGAUGCAGAUCAUGGUGAAAUAAUUAUUUAAGUCAACUAAAACUAUUUGGUUAGCAUAACCAUCAGCACAAAUUGAUAGUAUAAGAGCCAAUUUGGGCCAAAAGAAAAGGGAGGAUAAAAAAGAAGGUGCAGAUUGAGAUAAGACACAAACCCUUUAUGCUUCCAUUUCCUUUGAAUGACAUAGUAUUGUUUGGAAGACAAUGGUUGGUUAAGAACAGGAAUGAAUAGAACAUGGGUGCAUUCAGUGAAGUCCCCGUCCGGAAACAGAACCUCUAGGUCCUUGUUUUGAGGAAACGGCUGGGCUCCAAUAUAAUCAGUACUCUUGACCAACCCAAAACAGCAAGUAGGUUCAGUUUCAUCAUCUUGGAUCACCAAUAUACCAGAAUUCGGACCCUCGGGAGGAGAUAAUGAAAGAGCUGAAGGAUAUGUUCGAUACAUUGAGAGAGGCUUUGUCACAUACAUGAUUGUUUUUCUUUUUUUUUUGGUUCUUUGUGUUUCCCUUGGUGUUUUAACUAAGCAUUAAUGAACGUAUAAAUACGUAUUGAUUAAUGAACUCAUCGAUUGUGGCUUGUAUAACUUGAUCAAGUUACACAAUUGGUUCUGUAAGGUAAUGAUCAACCAGUUGACUUUUGAAGAUCAGUUUUCUGUGGUCUGUGCAUGCUGUUUUUUUAUGCAACUAGGCAUAAAUGGUUCCCCAUGGACGUGUUUGGGCCCUUAUUUAUUUCAAAAACAUCAAAAUUCAAUCAAACAACACGUAACACAAGCAUUUCCAUCUGACAUGCCAUAUGCUAGGAAAUUUCCACUAGUACUUAAAUACGGCUUACUUAUUUGACCUGAAAAAAUAAAUUCAAGUGGGGGAAAUAAUUAGAUAGACCCGAGAUCAGAACCUAUUUGAAAUCUCCAUGUGGAUUACGAGUGAGAUUGAAAGGUGAGAUUAAAUGAUUUCUACGCCACAUAAGCAUUGAAAUGGAAUGCAAUCAUCCACGGGUCAACAUCCUCGUUCUUGCAAACUUAAGAAAACAAGAGCAUAGAAACAGGCAGUGAAGAUUAUUUCUCUGUUAAAUUGAAAGGAAAACGAGGGUUCACAUAAGUGAUCGUCAGGUGGUGAUGUACACAGUGGCUAAAAUGGCGGAGUUGAGGAGUUCUGUUUGUCAUGGAGAGAUGGUGGUUCGGUGGUCCAUGGGAAAUACUAUUUCUCCUCGCGUCUCUCUUUGCCUUUUUUUUCAUUAUUAUUAUGUUUCAAUCAAACCACGAGGGCAUAGCAGGUAUGUUCUUUUUUUAGUUUGAACAGGCAAAUUGACUUAUUGUAUACAUGUUUUGUUUUUUAACAUAAACAAGCUUAAUUAUAAAUAUAAAAGUUUAUAUAUAUAUAAUUAAGUAAAUCAAGAAUCAUUUUGUGCAAUCAAAAUAAAUCUAAUCCUUAACAAAUCGAAUAUAUCAUAAUCACCUAAUCGAUAUUUUUUCUUUCUAUUACCACAAUACUUUGACUUUCUCUCCUCUACAUCAAAUCAUGGAUCAAAAAUAAAAAAAUUAAUGUUUUGACAACAAGUGAACUUUGAAAAAAUAAAAAGAUAAAAAAGAAUAUGUUGCAAACUAAGAUGAUCAAAGUAAACUUUUUUAGCCACUUUUAAAACCAUUAUUUUUUAUUUUAUUUUUUUCAUAUUGAUCAUCUAUCUUUCAAUUCUACAUUUUCUUGAUAAAAUAAAAAUAAUUAAAUUUCAACUUGGCUAUAAAAAGAUGCGAUUAAUAAGGAAAAAUAAAGCACAUUAACAAAAAUAAUAAAAAAAAAUCACUAUGAAAGUACACAAUGAAAAAAAAGUACAUUUUCCAAUGAUUUUUAGUGUUUUAUUAAUUUUGAAAAUAAUAUAUAUAAAAAUCCAUAUUUCCCAAUACAUUAAGUUCUAUAAAAAAAAUCCAUUUUAAAAAAGUUUUUAAAAAUAAAUAUUGAUUGAUUAAUGUAUAAACUAGUCUUAAAAUAUAUUAUAUCAUCGAGAAACACAGAUAAUAAGUCAUGCAGUACUUGUCGAACCGAGAAAUUAUACACAUGUAAUACUUUAAUUCAUGAAAUUAAAUAAAUAAAAAUGCAUCUUUGUGCUUUACAUGCCUGGUCCAUUUCAAGUGAAAGUGAAAGUGCUCUAUGCUUUCACCUGGAGAUUGUGUGUAUUUGGUAGGUAAUUUGAUGGAAGAUGUUUUUUAAAUAUUUUUUAAUUAAAAAUAUAUUAAUUUAUUUUAAAAAAAUUAAUACUAGUGCAUCAAAACCAUAAAAAACAAUUAAAAAUAUAUUAAUUUAAUAUUUUGUAAAUAAAAAACAAUAUUAAAAAACGAGUGAAACCAUACAAAAGAAACACACGACGAGGGGAUGUUCAUCGCGUUGUGAAACGCAUACCGAGCAGGUAAAAAAUCUAUGAAAGUCAUGGGAUCUAAUCCACAUGGCAACUAAAAAGCUUGUUUAAAAUUGUAGUGGUGGUUGUAGUUCAAAAUAAUUUUCGCUUAGAAAUAUGUUAAAAUAAUAUUUUUUAAAAAAAAAUUGUUUUUGAGAUUAUAUCAAAAACAAUAUGAAAAUAUAUAUAAAAAAAUUAAAUAAAAAAAUUCACCCAAACGGGCUCUACACCAUUCACUUCAAAGCACUGGAAUUUACUACAACAACCAGUUAAGCAGGUUUUGGUCCAAUGGACCGGUUUUGUAUAAAAUUCUAAGAGUCCAAAACCCCAUAAACCGAAACAAAGACCAAUUCCACAUGUUAAAUGGCCUGAAAGCCGCGAACAAAAAGACGCGUAAAAGUCUUUCGAUUUAGCAUCAAUGGAUGAAUGAAUUUGUGAAUUCAUGGUCCAAUAGUACGAUAUGCCCCUAUUAUUGUUUCUUGGCUUCCUUUCUAACUUUUAUUAGAAACUCCAGUGAAAAUUGUCCACUCAACCAGCAUCCAUCAUAUCUCCCUUCCUCGAGUGAUCGGAGAUUCAAAUCUCCCUUUGUGAUUAGAAAACAAAAAAGAAGCUCGAGAAUCACUGGGAAAGACCAAACUAAACCCUUGUCGUUUGUGUUGUUAAUCUGGUUUUCUUUUCUACCCAGACAAAAAUCUUGAUGACAUUUGAAGCCCCGGUGGAGUUUUUUUUCUUUCUUUUUUGUAUUGUGGUAGAUAACGAAAUGAAAUGCUUUCUUCUUCUUUUUUUAUUAUUUUUCUUUCAAGUAUAAACUAUAAAGUCAUGCAAACUCAUUUCUGUUAGCUACUUUUGUUUCAACUUGAUCAAUGCAACUACAGAAUCCAGGAAGGAUCUGACCACCACAUACACAUAGAAAGAUACAAGAGCAAAAAUCAAGAUUUAGUCUAAUUAGUAAUUAAUAAUUAACCUAAGGGUUUGACCACAAGGUCUUCGUCUUUCUUCUUUGCACUUGGAUGCUGCCUGAAAAUCCAUCUCCAACUCUUGAAACUUUUUCUGCUCCUCUUGAUCCCUCUGUCACUGACUGUGAUCCUGCAGGAACCCCCAUGACUGAAAAGCCCAUCUCCCACUAAACUACCAAAAUGCCCUCCAUAUUGAUCCUGCGCCACCGCAUCACCGCCUCUCAGGCUCCCCAAAGCAGAGUGUGAAUCUGACAAAGAGACCAUCUUUACAGAAGAUAAAUCUGCUUUAGAUUCUGAUGGGAAAUCAAACUUCAAGUCAAUGAAGCCUGAAUCAUCCACUGUAGUAAAAUUCCCUUCUUUAAGUGAAAAUACACGUCUGGUAUUUGGUCCACUGUGGCCGGGAUCAAGCCUUUCAGGCUCUAAAGCAGUACCAGUAGCAUCUCUCUUUUCACCAUCAAAGCCACUUUUUCUUGGCUCUGCCUCACUGAACCCACUUUUUCUGUCAGGAUCAAAAAGUAGACCACCAUUGACACCUGAAUUUCUGGCAGCUGAAAUUGAACUCCUAGCAGCUGAAAUGGAACUCCUAGCACCUGAAAAGGUGCCAUCUUCAGAACCAAAAAACCCACCACCUCUAAAACUGCAGAGAGACCUGCACCUAGACACACCCAUGUAAUCAACAACCCACACAUCACUUUUCUCUUCGAAACCCCCGACACUGCUCCUAUCACAGCCCUUCCCUCUUUUCUUACUAAACAGCCUUCCAAUCCUCCAAAACCCACUUUUCCUCUUGAUCUCAACACAGCUACUGCUGCUCCUCUUGAGCAUGAAAUUAAGUUCAUCUCCUUUCUGAUCCUUACUAGAACUUUUGGGCUUAGAAGUAAUAUUACUAGACUGUGAAACUUGAUCAUUUUUUUGUUUUUCAUUUUCUAUCAAGAAUGAAAUGCGACCAACACUGCCUACCUCAACAGUGCAUGAAUUACGAUUGGAAGAGAUCUCCGAGCAAGAGCAAGAAGAGAGCCUUUGCUCUCCACAAUCUGAACAGACUAGAUUGACCAAACGGUCUUUCAGACAAUGAGCACAUAUACCAACUGAAGAUGAUGAUGG
rnacentral:lncRNA from 1 species